GUUUUUUCCCUCCAUUUUGGAUCUCUAGUUUCACCCAAGUCUUGUGUCUCACCUGUUGCUUGUUUCUGUCUCCUUGCGUUGCCUCUCAGUUUUUAAGUUGCUGCUGGUUUUGUGGUUUUGUUUCAAGUUGGAGUUUUGUCGGACUUUAAUAAGUAAGUUUACCUUUUUCAGACUUUUUUUUGUCAGCUGCUAAAUCCUCCAGUUAAGUCUGUCUGUCUUGGUUAGUUAGCUGCAAAGUAAGCAGUCAAUAUCUUCUUUUAAAAACCCUUUUCAGUUGACUGAAUGACAUGAUUUGUCAUUUUGGCUACACGUCAAAAGUCGUCUCAUAAUUUGCUUGACAAAUUCUGAUCACUGAAGAUAUAAACAGGGUAAGAAACAUGUUAAAAUAACUAUGUCUGUCCCCCAGAUUCCCACCUGUACUCUGCUCACUAAGUCAUCUCUACUUUGAGGAACUGGAGCUGUUCUUAAGGUGGACCUCUUCAUCUGGACCAAAAUGAAGAUAUCAAGGUAGGAUGUUUACAUGUUUCAGAUCUGAUAAGUUCCUUUUUUGGUAGAUUUCUGGUGAACAAAAAGCAGGAAAACCAAAAAGAGAUUGUUGCUUGUUGACACUGACUUCGUUGGCCCGCAUUGAGGCAAAUCUACAUUUAACUUUUGUUUAGUUCAGUUUGUUCCUCUUGACAAAAUAACACAGUUUGUGACCUGUUACAGUGCUUUGGGAAUUGUGGAGUACAGAAUAUAGCUGUUUACUUUAGUCUGGUUGCUGUUGGUUUUGCUGGGUUUGGGUCACGUGGGCACUGUGUUUGAAAGCCGGUAGUUUAUAUAAGGGGUGGUCUCACCUGCACUGGGGUGGAGAGGUGAGCCUAGGUAGCCGUAUUCUUUGUUGACUGGGCUUCAUGUUCUUUUUUGCAAUGAUACGUGUCGCAAAUUGUACACAUAUUAUAUCCGAUAUACGCAUGUAAAUCAUUGGCAACUAUGGAAGCGUUUUUUCUGUUAUUAAAGCUCCAGAAAACUUAGACCAACCUAUCCUCUGCCUCAAGCGACUUUUUUAAAGGUACUAGAAAAGCCCAGUAAUAUUCAUCUAAUUGAACAGUUUUGCACCGUGUCAGAGCUGCGUAAGAAAAUGAAGAUAUCAAGGUAGGAUGUUUACGUUUCAGAUCUGAUAGGUUUCUUAUUGGCAGAUUUCUGGUGAACAAAAAGAAGUAAAACCUUUAAAGAGGUUCUUGCUUGUUGACACUGAGUUAGCUGGGCCGCAUUGAGGCAAGUCUCCAUUUAACUUUAGUUCAGUUCAGUUUGUUCCUCUUUAUAAAAAACACACAGUUUAUGACCUGUUACAGUGCUUUGGGAAUUGUGGAGUACAGAAUAUAUAUAGCUGUUUUCUUGUUUUCUAUAGUGAAAAAGCUGCUUGAGUGGCACAGAAAUGAAGUAGUGGGUUGAAAGUUAAUAACACAGGGAGUCUGAGUCUGCUGCUUUGGGACUCCCGGGGACUUUUCAUCUGAUAAUCCAUCUACAAAUUAAUCCCUGUCUACUUCAAAUGAAGAGGGGCUUUAGGAUUAGUUCUUUGAAGUUUGAAAAGGGGACCUCUGAGCAUUCAGUGCAGGCCAUUGCUCCCUUUAAUUGUCCAUAUGCGGCGAUUUCAAUGUUUAAAGUUCAUUUCCAUGUGAUCGCUCUAACAGGCCAAUCCUGAGGGUUCACAGUCCCUCAAUCUACAUGCAGAUUAUUUCACAAUCCCUCUGAGCUUUCUCCAAAUCUGCUGUCACUUCUGAAUAAUCAGGUUGUAUCAGCAUCGCUGCAUGCUUACAUGAUUUAAAAUUGGCUAAAUACCAUUAGGGUUUCUUGCUUGUCUCUAAUGUAACGUGUGGGUAAAAUCGUCCUCCGGCUCACCGGUGUGAUAAUUGAAUUUAACUCAGUGCUCACUCAAAGCUGGUGUCAAGUGUUAUGAAUAAAAGGGCCCUCACCUGAAUGAAGAGGGCUGUUUAAUGCUUCUUCAGGCACAUCAAACAUUGGCUGUAAGAGAGAGUGGGGGGCGGGUGGAGCGAGCUGCUGUUUCCUGCUGCAUUGUGGAGGUGGGAUGGAUAAUUACCAGCGGCCUUCUCUCUGAUUAGUAAUCUGAUGAGACUGCAGAGCCAUAAGCAGAGACAGCACAGCCACCCACCUGAUUUUAAAUGACAGUGCAGGCCUCCGCUGUCAGUUUGUAUCCUUCACAAAUGUUCGGGGAAAUGUAUCUGCAGUGUGGCUGUAAUCACGACAGAAAAAGUCACAUUUUGAAGUUGACAUUUGAGCUGCAUUAAAUAUGUAAGUAUAAAAGAUGGGAGCAAAAUUUAGAGCUGGUUCAGGGAGGAAAUCUGCCUCGUCUUCAUGGGUCGAUGACUUACUUCUGUGCUGGUUCAAAAGAGGCCCGGUGGAUAAUACACUUACUCUGUUUAGGUACUUGAUACAAGUAUUUACGUAGAGACUAGGAAGGUAAACAUGCAGCUUGCACGAAUCAUGCAACUUUUCCAGUUCAAGUAAUUUGUACGAGCCAAAGAUUUCAAACACAAAUGCAAAAGUCUGCAAUUGUAUUAUUUUUCGACCUCCAAAAGUUGCUCCAGAGACUUUAAAACUAAUGGCUAAUGACCCCUUUGUUUUAAUUUUCAGUGUGCAACAACAAGGCAAGUUUAUUUGUAUAGUACCAUUCAUACACAAGGCAAUUUAAAGGGCUUUACAGAUGCAAGGAAAUACAUAAAAAAUGUAAAAAGGAGAGAUUAAAACAAUUUAAAAUCAAAAACACAAACAGAUACAUUUUUUUGUCUGUUCACUAUUUUCCCUGAACAACAUGAAAACCAUAAUUUCCCAGAAAAAAUAAAAUAAAAUACACAAGCUUUCAGACCCAGGGCUCCCCUGAUGGUAGACCAACAUUUACCCCCACAAUGCCACAAUGCUAACUUAAUGACUAAGCAGUAGGCUAGCUAUUAUACACACUAUACGAGACUCUUAUUUCAAAGGAUCAUCCAGUACUUUACCUAUCCCUAAGGUUGUAAUUAAGUGCAUCCUGUACAGCUCAACAUAUCCCAUGAUCCUUUGUUUCCCAUUUGAAAUAUCAUUAUGGUGUUUACUAGAUGCUAGCCAAGGUAGAGCGACAAUGGCGGUGCAGGAAAGACUAAUGACGUGGGCUAGAUAGACUCAAUUUAGUUCAGUCUGGCCAUGAAGGCUGAGUCCUAAUGUGUGCGUAACAAGAUAAACAACUUUUAACUUUGUAGAUCUGUGACAUGAUCUGCACAACUACCUGCCACAUAAAAUCCCCAAAGGAUUAGUGAACGUGUCUUCCCAGCUGGAUUUUGACAGACUUGUUUUCUGUGAUUUAUAAGAGGGACUUGGCAGAGCUUGUUUGAACUUACUGCCUGUUUCGACUAACUUCUUCUACUAUGGGGAACAACCACAGACUUUAAAAUCUGCUGACAUAUUUAAUCAACUUUUAUCUUUUAACAGAGUGACUUGAUGGAUCUUAUAAAUGCCAUUAUUUAGUGAAAGAGUUUGAAUAUAUGUUUCAUGGCGUCACCAAGCAGCUCGACUCUAUUUAACUCUGCUGCGAUUUGAUGUCUUCAUAUUUAGGAUAUGCAUCAGUAUUCGACUCCUGGAGGGUACUCUGGAUAUGAGGAGGAGGGUUUUAAGAUUACCCUCCACAGUCUCCUCUCCAUGGCUCCACAAGGGGAUUUCAUCUUCCUCUAGAUACACAUCAAUUAUCACAGUGAAGCCACCUUGGGGCUUCAAGGUUUGAUAAUAAAUUAAGUUCUCUUGAACAUUUUUCAACAUCACCAUGGUCCCUUAUCACCAUCCACGGCAGAUGAGUGUGUGGAGGGAGUUUUUCAGGGCUGAGGUCGGAGGAGAAGUUUCUAGGGUUUUUGACACCGCAGCAACCUCAUACUGUAGACUAUUAAUUAGGGAACAUCGCCGCAUCUCAUCCCCGCCGCCGCUGAGCAUUCACCCCUCCACUGAUCAGAUAAGAGUACACACAUAGAUCAUUUGGCGUUGCUGCUUCACUGAUUACAUCUUCAGCAGCAUUAUGCAAAAGAAGCUCCAUGAAUAAAAUCCAUCUGGGUGGACACAAAGUCUGUAACACCUCAUGUUUUAUUGAUACUUUGCAUGCUAACAGUCGGAGUUCAUCCUUCAAAACAUUUAAUGCUUCAGUUAAUUUCACAGGAUGUCAGCAGGACCUCAGCCUCACCUUCCUUUCCUCCAGGUGUCCUGACAGAUGAUGGAAACUGGAUGAGGAACAGCUUGGUUGUUUGUGUGUGAUUAGGCUUUGGGGCGUGUGCACGAGCGUCUUGGUGGUAUCUCUUCAGCCUCUAUCUUUCUCAUAUUUAUGCUCUCCUCUUCUUCAGUAUGGGUAACGUGCAAUAUAGUACGCUGCCUGUUUGCUUGUGGUCUCCUUGGCAUGUGUUCUGUUUGCAUGGAGGUUAUUGUUAUUGAUGGUGGUUCAAUAGUUUGUGAAUGCAUCUGAGCAUGUGCAGGACUUGACUCAAGAUGGUUUUACAAGGGUAUCAUACCUUGUUACAUAAUACUGAAUCAUGAAAAAGGAUAUAAUAUGAUAUAUAAUUGUCCAUAUUGUAUCAUAUCAUUUCAUUUCAUAUCAUAUUUAUCUAAGUAAACAGUUUUGCAACACGUCAUACAUAUUAUAUCGUACCAAAUCAUUUCUUAUAUCAUAUUGUAUCAUGUAUUGUUGUGUCGUAUUAUAUCAAGUGUUCAACUCCUCAGUAAGGAAAGUCACUAGUGGCUGUCCUAGAGGUCGCUAGAUGACGCCAUCGCCUAAUUUGCAUAGUUUUUAAGAGGGGUCUUCCUUAGGGUGUCUGUAUGUGUGUGUGUGUGUGUGUGUGUGUGUGUGUGUGUGUGUGUGUGUGUGUGUGUGUGUGUAAUUUCGGUGCCCACCUGCUACCCAAAAUCGAUUACCCGCUUUCAUGUCAUCGUCUCCAAACUGCGCAAAAAGUUGCUAGAUUUGUUGAUAGGUGCUUUUUUUAAAAUAAGUCGCUGAAUAAAGUCGCUAGGUUAGCAACACUGAUUGUAUCUUAUUGUAGCUUAGUAUAUAUUAUGUUGUAUUACAUUGUAUCAUAUUGUAUCAUAUCAAAUGAUUUGAUAUUGUUGUAUCCAUAGACUGUAUAUACUAUGGACAACUUGGCUCCGCCUUCCGUCAUUGUACGAAUUUGAAGCCAAAUUGCUCUUGUUACUUCCGGGAUUUUCUCCACUUCCUGGAACCACCACUUGCCCGGUAUCAUUGUACAAAUUCAGCAGGAGAGUCACUGUGAUGACGCUCUGCAAUCUUCGUACACCCAUAGGCUGUAUCACGUGUCAAUCAUAGAAAACAUGAACCCCCUGAUAACUUUUAAAAUUGGAGCUGCACAGAAAAAAAGAGGACUUGAGCACAAACCAGUCUUACAGAAACUACAUGUCAACAUCAGAAAAAUGUAUAUUCUUAAUUUCUAAAGCUUGUCCACAUCGCCAUUAAAUUUGCUGGAGGAGGCGGGACUUAUGACCUAUACUGCAGCCCGUCACCAGAGGGUGCUGUUCUUGCAGAGGCUUCACCCAGUGAGGAGGCAGACAACAACCAUUCUAUAUACAGUCUACGGUCAUAACGAAUCAUGUGGUUUCAUAUCAUAUCAUAUCACAUCACACUGUGUCGCAUUGAAUCCUGUCUUAUUAGUUCAUAUCCGACCUUACUGAACCCUUUUGUAUCUUUUCUUAUUGUAUCCUAUCAACUUAGACUAAGAAUGAGGAGACCUCAAAGUUUCCUAUUAAAUUUCAGCAGGCUGUGGUUGUAUUCAGAAAAACAUCCCCUGCAGAGAGCAAAAUAGGAAGAGCACAUUGGCUGAAAAUAUGAAAUAAAACCAUAAAACAAAAUUCAAAAUCCAGACGAGGAUGAAAUAGUUUUUUGUUCCCAGUGUGAGUCCACCCAUGCUGUGACUCUUUACAUGAGAGACAUUGUAUUUAAACCCUCAUGAGUAACAGGGAAUAAAACAUCCAGGGAGAGACUUUAUUAUUUAGACAAACAAUAUACUGCUGAUACACAAAAUAGAGUGCUUCAAACAUCCUCCUAUGGAGCUCAUGGCUUUGCUCUCAGGUCCAGUCCUCAUUGUUUGGCAGAGCUCAGAAUUGAUAAAGAGGUUUUGCUGGUAUUUUCACAUUUUGCAGAUACCUUUUUUAAGGCAAGAUUUUGAAUUCUUUAACUAAAAAUCUAAGAAAUUCAGCAUCUGCAGAGGAUCUACAGCGUAGUGCUGUGAAAAUGAUAAUGAUACCCUGCACUGAUUGGCUGCCUGGAACAUGUCUGUAGAGGGAGGAUACAGACUGGUGCAGAUGGAUGCGGAGGCAGAAAAAUCACCAAACAAACAGGGCGAGUGCUCAAGAAAAAAACCUGCAUCAGAACCAAGCCAAAAGUUUCUCGGUCUAUCUGUGAUCCAAUGAAACCACAACAGGACUUUCAGAUGCUAACUUUAUCUUCAGGAAUGGAGCAUAUUUGUAAAGACUAAACAUGAUUAAACCUGCAAAAUUCCAAACUUUGUAGCAUGUCUGCCAAAUGUAGAAACACAACAGUCGCAGAAUAUCCUCCAAAUGGGCGGGAAAUUUGAGCAUUUUUGUGAUUGAUUUCCUGUGAUUGAGUCAUUUACAACUUACAACCUUAAAAGUUGAGCAAGUAAAGCUAAUUUCUCAUCAUUUUUUAACUUGCUGUUGUAAUAAAUGACACCGUAUUCAUCCAGAAGAGGUUACACUUUUGCAUCUUAGACUAGGGUGACCAAACGUCCUCUUUUACCCGGACAUGUCCUCUUUUUGGGGGGCUGUCCUGGUUUGUCUGGCUUUGUCCAGGAAGUUUAUAAGAUCCACUAAAUAUCAAUUUAUUAGUGAAUUUGUGUCACGUGGAUUUACUGAGUUAGAAGCGCGUAAAAGACCCUCGAUCCGACCCAAAAAACUCUCAAAAUUAACUUUGUGUGACUCAGUGACUCCGCCCCCGAGUAGUCAUGUCCUCUUUUUGGGAAGUCAGAAUAUGGUCACCCUAUCCUAGACCAAAAUGUGUUUUCUUCUCGCCCAGAUCUCCUCCAUCACUCAGCGUUUUCCUUACCCCCACAUUUCAUGAUCUAAUAGGAAAUAAUGUGCUGAAAUCCAGCUCACAAAAUUAGUCAAAGCUGUAUAAAUUAUGCUCCACCAAAAGCCAAAAGAUGUGCUCUUCUCUGACAGAGAUACUUUGAAUGAGAUGCGAAAGAUGUAACAUGAACUACUUUUCUGAAGCAGCCUAAUUUCUGAGAUGAAUAGUUGUGAUCAUAAACCUGAAUCAGGUUUGCCCGGAAAUCCGUCUGAGCAGGACCGGGACAAGACACGUCUUCAAAGCACAUAAAACAUGAGCUUUCAGGUUCUCUAGUUUCCAGGCUGAAUAUCAAAACCUUCUUUGCUGAAAACAGCUGCGUUGUUGAGCUGAAAACAACACCAUUAGAGCUGUGAGAGUGAACAAACUAAGUGGAUUCAUUGGCUGGAAGGCUAAACAAAGAUUUACUCGUGAUUUACUGUGAGGCGCCUCUUUCACUCCGAGAUUUUCACAUGAUCUUCAAUUGUUUUUUUAAAAGCUGCUUUGAUUUUGUACAUUUUUAUUAAAUACGUCCACAUUAAAUGUAUCUGACUCGCUUAAAAGGUGGUCUAUGUGUCCUGGAAUUACACUUCAGCGUAUGCAUGGCAUAUUAAGACAGAAAUUCAAGAUCACUUUGAUCACUUCAAGGUAAAAUCACUGGAAACUCAGUCUGCCAGGAAUCAGCAUAUGUAAUCAUAGAGGCUCUUUGAAGUCAGAUUUUGGGUCAAAUUGGGUCAAAAAUUGGUGUAAGUUAUAAACUUUUUACAAUUAAGUAUAAGAUUCUCUCAGAAGAAGUUAACAUUUCUUAAAAUUGGUUUUGAUCGCCUUUAAGUGAGGGCGGUAAACUACUUCUAGUGAUCAAAAAUGUCAGUUCUGUCGACUUUUAGAUGCAUAUCUAUUUAUGAUCAUAUCAUUAAGUUUAUGUUUGUUUAUUAUGUCUCUUCUUAUUCUUGUGAAGCUGUGGUAUCAGUGCAGCAGAUGUCAGAGGAUAACUGUUAUAUUUAUAUAAGUCUGGGUGAGUUUUUCGGGUUCAUUUGUUCAGACAUGAGGCACAGCUGCAGGAGCAAGGUGGAACUGAAGAAUACGGUUUCAUUUUUACCGUCAGACAGAUCCGAACUGUUGCCGCUCCUUCACCCUGUGCACGCAGAAGAAGGUCGCAUCAAUAUGUAUGCAGAAACACUGCGAUUGAAGGUUUCCUCGCUCACCAGCGCACACACACAGAAACACAGGACUCUGUUUUUGAUUGCGAAACUAGCAGGAGUGGUGCACAUUCACAACAGCAUGUAGAAAAAAGGAAAAACUGAUUAAUUCAGGAAUCAAAGGGAGGAAAGUACAGCUUUUCUCUGCCGUGCUCUGAAACUCUGAUGAUGUUGAAACGAGGUUAAAUGUAUUUACAGAAAGAAAUUCAACCACACUGUGCGCCUGGUUUAUUUAGGCUAUGGUACACGACAACAGCAGAAGUUAUACUUACUAAGUCUCUUAAUGGUUAUUUAACUUAUUGACUCAAAGAAGCACAUUUGCAAAGAGCUCAGCAGCAAUAUGGAUUCAGUUAAAUGUCAAGAUUAGCAGCCAUGCUAAUAUACUUACCUUACAAGAGGAGUACAGGCCAUCCGGAUGUUGUUGAAUAGUAACAUCCUGGUUCGAAUAUACACCAGGACAGCCCCUCUUUACAGGAUUCAUGUUUAGAAAAAUACAGAAAUGCGCUUUUAUUUACAGUCUGGAUGUUAUGGUAAAUUAAAGCUCUAGUAUGGAACUUUCUGUCAGUGUUGACUUUAGUGCCCCCUGUGGACAAAGUGGUAACCCUCAAAUCACAGCUGAUUUAGUCUCAUCCAUGUGACAAAGUGUUAAUUGACCCAAAAAAACUUUUUUUAGGGAGAAAUUUACUAGAGUGAAUUUUUGCUGUGGGAAAAGUUACAGGUGCUUUUUCUUUUGCGUGACUCUCCUCUUACACAAGCUAGAAUCAUUAAAAUUUACGAUCAGGAAAUUAUCCAUUUCAUCACUGAUGUCAUUUGCUUUCAUAUCACACAGAGAUCGUUGUUCAUUUCAGGCUCUUUUAUAAUGUAUUAAUAAAAUCCUCACCGGGGCUUUAAACACGAAAAUAGUUUCUGUGACAGAUAAUGCAGAGAAACAGGAAGAAAGAGGGUUUAGAAAUCCCAACAGAAAGUCCUGAAAACUUUCAACACGGUUGGCUUUAUUACAACUCAUGUCUUUAUCUUCAUAGCAUUCGAUAACUUAGAGAUGCACUUACUUGAGAGGAGGAUCUGAUAUCAAACUAUCUAUUUCUUUUAACCAACCUAUCAGCAUGCUAUCAAUAGCUGGACUAUCACUGUGUUUCUCCGUCUUUCAUCCCCCUGGUAAUGUGGUUGUGAGUGGAGACCCUAAAUAUAAGUCAGUUACACUUUUUCAGAUGUACCUUCAUGAAAAAAGUCUUCUAUUUGGAUCAAUAAAGUGAAUGACAAUCAAGACAGGACAAAUUACCAUUUCAUCAAAAUGUAGAGGCAGCACAGAGUCAAGUUUUUCCAGUCAGCUGCAUCUUUAGAAGUUCAGUCGUAGCAACAACUUUGGCAAUUAGACACCAUCAAGACAGUUUCAUUGAUUCAAGGGGUGCUGAGGCCAGUUUUAGAUCAUUUACUUUAAUCUGUAUGGUUUAAAAGGAGGAAAAUUCUCUUUUUGUUUUUAUUUGUUUAGUUUUUAGAGUAAAUGACAACAAUCUCAGUCACAAAGCAGGUUUAGGGACUAAACCUCUGGCUAAACAUUCAGCACGUUAAUUAUAGUUAUGCAUGUAUACUUUCUUAAAGCUGCAGCAUGCUUAAUUGGUGAAACUGGGGUUUUCUUGGUUUAUAAGCUAAACCAAAUGUCUACGACCAGGUUCAUUUUCCAUUAUAAAGCAGUUUUUCGGGCCACACAACACUCUAGAUCAGCGUUUUCUCUUCAGUGUGAUUUGCAUGGAGUCUCCAGCUUCUAUCAUUCUUCUCUCCAGACUCAUCAUAUUCACACCCACGCUCCGGUUUCACCCCACACUGAAUCAGAUUCGUAGGCCGUAUCUAGAUUCAAAUGACAUCCGGUAUUUAUCCCCAUCCAUGCUGGCAACAUCCAGCGUGUUGUGCUGUGCAUCAAAUUCCCUCAACUCCUCCGUGUAAUUAUUCAGUCUCUGCGCCUGUAACACAUCAGUAAUGCUGUUUAUGGCCCAAGGUCAGAGCAGAGGGGGCUGGGGAGCCAAGCCUGUGAUGGAUUAAUACUUUCCAGGGCUUUGAACUCUCGGAGACAGUGACACAUUUCAGUGAAUCAAAAUAGGCUCUUUUUAAAGACUCCUUUUUCUCUGACAGGGGUUGAAAAUACAGCCUCAGUGUUUCCCUGGGAGUCACUGUGAUCUAAAGACUCAACUACCAGUAAACACAAGGUUAAAUCAUCAAAAAAAACCUCAGGAUAGGGUGGAUAUAAAGGCAGAUAUCUUCAUUUUUGAAUUAAAGUUUCCAGGAACGAUUAUAUUCAUUCAAAAGAGUCUUUUCAAAUGUUUAACCAAAUACAGACUUUGUUAAACAAGUCCUUUCAUUCAGGUUUCAUUCUUGUGCUUUUCGAGUGCUCGAAGCAGUUCAUCCGUGAGUGAUUCUUUUCAUUUACAACUAAUCAUUCAGCCGAGUUGCAUCUCAAAACCCAAAUCAAUUUGUGUUUUUCUGCUGCUCUUUACCCACAACCAAGUAAUCAGCCGUUCCAGCUCCGUGUUGCUUGAAAAGAUGUGCAGAAAAGCCACGAGAGAUCUCUUGACUUCCACCUUGAACUUGAAAGGGAAGUUGUUUUUUGCUUUGGGCUUGUUGUUCUGCCAUGGUUCAGCUGAAUGCACAUACAAAAUGAAGGAGCUUGUUACCUCCGCCUCCAACAACUCCCUCUGCGGUUUGUACCCUCGCUGUGGUUUAGAUUUGUUAUUUGCGGAUGCAGUCUCGGGGGUUUGACCUGAGUUUGAACAGUUCAGUAGUCCUCUGGGUUUUGUGAGCUCAAUGGAAGGCGUGAUAUGAGCAGAUUAACGGGAUUUGGAGUUUUUAGGCUGUUCUCUGGUCUUGGUUUUUCUCUUAAAAGUGGACUCAGAAGACAGGUUGAAGGACCGGCGAGUACUUUAUCCAGCUUACUGCAGCUGGUGCUUGAAAUAUAACAAUCUGUGUCCAAUUUUCUGUCAUUUCUGAACACCUUCCACUUUCCUCCUGCUGAAAUCAGCCGACUUACGGAUAGAUUACUGUUGAACGUACAGUUUUUAGAUCUGUAUUUCCUGACUUCUUCCCUUUUUAAGAGACUCAUCCAACUUUUUUGAAGUUUUCUUUCAGAACAAAAGAAAAGAUUCAGCUGUGAAAUGUUUGUCUGACACCCUCCAGCUCCUGACUAAAAGCCGGGGCCUUUUACUCUGCCUACAUCUCACCUCUUGUCCCAGAGGCUCACACAUCUUCUUCAUUCAGUAUCAGUGUGUGUUCAGGAUCAUGUCUUUGUCAGACUAAAUUUGUCAAACUUGCUGAAUUAAACCUCCCCCCUGUACCUCCCUCGUUCCCCUUUUCUCUGCCUCAGCUAAAACUUCCCUCAGAGUGUCACUGAAGUGUCCUCAGUCAGGGUGUACAGUGAAAGUUAAUGCGAUAAUUAUUUCCUUAUAUCAGCAGCACACUUAUCACAGGCUGACUUCCAGGCCUGAAGCAUACAUUAAAGCUUCUCAUGGGAGUAGAAAAGAGGUGCGCUCGGUGCGUUUAUAAUGAGUUCGAAGCAUAAAAAUCACAUGAACAAAUUAAACUUUAAAAAGUCAAACAUUAGUCUUGCUCUAAUAAAACUUGUCAACCCCACAUCUUUAACCUAAAUUAGCCUUGAAGGUGUUUCUUUCUCAUUCGUUUAAACUGACGCGGUACAGCUUUAAGAGACCAACAGCAUGUCGACAUGGUGCGACGCAGACGGUAAAGCUAGCACAGAUAGUUGGAUUAAAAAUGAUAGACAGCUGCUGAUGAAGGCGCCUUAAUCAGUCCAUCUUAAUGUUAUUUAAAUUUUAUAAAACUGACUUUGGUGAUGUAACUCCUGCAUGUAAGUACAUAAUGGAGAAGUAGAGGGAGGAAAAAGUGACUGUCGGGUUAAAUUGGGUCUCUUGAGGAGUUGAGGUUAUUGAGUCCCCCUUACAUAAAAAUUCCCCGACCCUGCAUACCUUUGAGUCUCAUCUUUAGACCCAGCAUGAACCAGCUUUUAUUGCUUUACUGGACAGUCCACUGACUCUGUUGUGUUUCUACAUUUUACAGAUUGUUUAUUUCUGCCCCCGUUGUUACUGUGCGUCACAUUAUUGUUUGCUCCACAAAUAAAGUGCAUCGGAGUGUAAUAGAAAACGGUCGUAAACUUAAUCAAAUAAUAGCUGCAUUUAAUCCUUACAGACUUGUUUUAUUUGCAGCUACAUUUAUAGAAACUUAUUGAAGGUGUAUUUUCUCUUGUUUUGCAGAUGAACCCGGUCUGCAGUGAUUGCACACAGCCUUUAUUUGAUUAUCUACUAGCCUAUUUGUUCUAAAUGAGAUUAUUUCAUCAAUUGCCUCAUGGCGAAUAACAACAACAUGAAUCUUCAGGCCGCUACAAGAGGAAACAGUUAUCAAUGGGGGAUAAUAUUCUUGAUCCAUUUCUACAGGCUGUCUUGGUUCUCUGUGUUUUAUGUGAAUCUAUGGGAGUAUCAGCUCUCUUACAGGGCAGCUCUUCAUGGAGUAAACACAGUUAGGGUCACUGUUAGAUCAGCUUUUAAAGCCAAAGGAAUUAGAAAACUGUUCACUUAAGGUGACCAGAUUUCUGUAAUGAAAUCCGACAUGGGCUGCGUGAUCACAGACAACAUCUCGGUAUGACUUGGUAGCAGCGCAUGCCCUCUGUAAUAACCCCACCGUAAAAACUGUUGUUCAGGACUGUGCGCAACAUGCUUACUUGUGCGUCAUACCCACUCAACUACCGUGAUAACCAAUCUACAUGCACAUCUUUGUUCUCUGCCAUGAAACGCUUAAAUCAGGGACAUUUGCGGGGACAGCUUUAGCCACGGACAGGUCAUCCGAUACAGGCACUAUCCCUGGAAAUCGGGGACGUCUGGUCACCUUAUGUUCUCUCCUCAUUUAUCAAUAUGAUUUAUCAAUAACAGUAAUUUGCUUGGAAGCUAAUGUUAGUCCGACUUUGAGUAUAGCGACCCACACACAACCCCCACUCAACCAGUUGAGUGGAUUCAGAGCUAAGAUGAGCAGAUUAAGGUUAAGUAUCACCUUGAAAAAAAAAAAACAAGUCUAUUCAUUCAGUUCCCAAUUCAUUGAUUCGCUCAUGCACUAUUUUAAAACAACGAUCCUCACUGUUCUCAGGUCAAAUAUUUAUAUGUGAUUAAAUUGCGAUUAAUUAGAUCAACUUUUUUAAUCGAAUCCCAGCUCUAAAAUAUAUCUAUUUUUUUCCAGCAUAUUGGAUACUUGAGGGCAGACAGGAUGUUGCACAAACCUGAGCAGACACUCUCAGUGAAGUCUAACUACAUAUACAGCAAUCCAUUUUUUCACAGGCCCUUCUCACAUAAAGACACUGUGUGUACAGCCUCCCCCAGCCUGUUUCCCGAGAGCAGGGAUAAACAUAUGGUAGUUUUAUAGCAGCCAAUUACAAUAAGCAAAAGACACCAGCCCAUAAGCACUCGCAGACUCUGGCUAUCCAUUUCGGACUAACUGUGAGCCAGCUAAUUGAGGGUAGUUAAAAGUCCAUGCACUGCAGCCAAACCGCAUCUCCACUUGUAUGUUUUUCACAUAGUUCAGGCUUGUCCAACAUCCCUGCAGGACUGAGCCGCACAGUGUGAGUCUAACGCAAGAAACGAGGAAAUGUCUGCUGGUAAGGAGUCACUUAGUUUAGCAAACUGUUUCCUGGAGUCUCCAUAUGGAGGGUGAAUAAAAACCUGAACUCCAGGAAAUAUUGUUGUAUAUUUGUGCAUGUUUGUGUGUGUAGGUAGUAGUAUUUCCAGGAGUGUGUGUGUGUGUGCUCUAUAAUGACUUUUUUUUUUAGCUCUGGGGUAAGCAGAUGAAACAUUGAAGACAGCUGUUGGUGCAGUAAAAACCACAUGCUGCUCCUCUCUUUUCAACAUAUUGGUCGUUAGCCUGACACCGCACCAACUGUAACUUUCGCCGCAGUUAUGUGUCAUUUACGACUCGUUUUAGAUCAAUGCCAUGCGGGUCAUUGUAGCUGCAAAAACUCCUCCUCUGUCCAAUGCACCAAGUUAGAGAAGACGGGAUAAGACCAGGUAAGGUAUUAAGUGUCUUUCCCUCACCUUGACAGCUGCUGACUGGCCUUCUCAUCUCUGGGUCUUUUCCUCUAGAAAUUCUAAAGGGAGCGAAGGGUCACGAGUGGCGAUCCGCCUCAGAGCGCCUGCUUAGACUUCAUUAUGCAGAUUUCCUCCAUUUUGGGAUUCUGAGUCCUCAUCCUCCGUCUCCCUGCUGAGUCUGGAGUCGAGUGAUUAAAGGUUGGCAGAGAGGGAAAGAUGUCAGAGGACUCAGGAUGUCGACAAGUCUUUGGAGACUCCUGUGGGCUGCUUGACAGUCACAGGCCCCGACAUGAAAAUGACUAAAGAGUAAAAAGCUUUUCCUAAAAGCUGAUGGUUUCUUUGCUUAGAAAUAGAUUCAAAAUGUGUCUUUUUACUGCUGCAGAUAAUGUCCAUAAUGUCCAAAAGUCACCAGAAAGAACAGUUACAAUGUAAAACCGGAUGUUAAGUAUAAUUUAAGAUCCCUCUGUGCACAGUUUUGUGCAGGAACAUUACCAUAAGCUUUAAAGACUGGCAGGUUUUAUACCACGCUGAAGGACAGCAGAGCUUGUUUUGUUAAGUGAUUUAAGUGAAAUUGAAAGCAGUAUUCGGUUUAUGUUUUACUCUCCCAUCCAGGAACACAGAAGGGACGUACUUUUUGGUAAAAUGUCCACAACUAAUAAGGGUUUAUUCUGGUUGGAUGAUUAUAAAAAAGCUGAAGUUGAGAGAAACCUUAUAGUAGCAGCAAAGCCAGGGAGGAAAAGCAGAGUACAAUGUUCAAGACUGAGCUUGAAAAAAUAUCUACUUUGACUUCAGUGGAUUAUCAGACCACUGUUCCUAACCCGUGGUCUGAACAUUUGGUGCAAGUGGCAUGUAAAUAAGAUGAACUCAAUCAAGCAAACAAGAGGGAGUUCUAGUUUAUCGUCUCAUGUAUAUGAGCCUGAUUCGUCUGUUUUAAUUUGGUCAAAUUUCCUCAAAAUCAUCACAGAUAUUUUGUGUUUGAGGCGUUUCAGUUUUACACUCUUGAAAACACACUGGUCUUAUAUGUUGGUCGGAAAAGCUCCUGGAUGUUGCAGAGAAGCAUAAAUUCAGUGCCAGUAAGCUGCCGGUCUCACAAAGCAAGUGGAUUCUACAGAAAGUCAUUACAUUGAACUGUUCUAGUUUUUAAGGUGAUAGCAUAAACAUAGUAACAUGCAUCAACCCUGUAAAUGACUAAACCUCAAAUAUAAGAUCAUUAGACUUUUUUUAAACUUUUGGGCCAAGCCUGUGAAGGACUUGGACUUUGGAGCCUACCCAGACUGCUAAAGGCUAAUUUAUGCUCGCCAUGCAUAUGAAAAUGUAUGUGUCCGUUUCAAACAAUGGUUCUGUCACUUCCCACAUACUUCCAUGCGUCCUUUACAUUUGCAUGGAUGUUAACCAUUACAUCCACCAGGGGGCAAAGGAGACAGAAACGGAGGCAGUGUUAGAGGAGGCGGUGGUCGGUCAGGCCACUAAAUGUCUCGCGGUUGGGGGACAGAGAAUUCUUUUUUUUAAUAGUACUGAUGAGAUAAAUUGACGAAGAUUGCCAUCUUUAGCCCUGCCAUUGUCUUUUUCAUUUCUCUAUAGAGAUGCGUAUCGGGUAGUGACUAGUGACAGCAGCAACACUGCCCCCACAGUUUCCGGUGGUACCGCUCCGUCAAGGAUAUGUGCAAAAAGAACGAAAAGAACACAAAGCACAGAGCUCCAUCCACAUCUGGAUCGUUGUAUGUAACGUUGAGCAUAAAUGAGCCUUAAGGCUAACAUAACUACUCUCAUGUUUGUUUUGUUUGAGCUGGUGCACAGUACACUGACUCUGUAGGAUGCCCAUGACACUUGUGGGGUAGGCGAAUGCAUUUGUUCAUGCUAUCUGAAGGAGCCUUUGAACUGUGGCAGCCUUCAUUGAUGCAGCCUGUCUUGUAAUGCAUCCAUCAUAGGAUGCAGCCCUUGGGGUACAGCUUGCAUCUUGGCAACUUGAUUUCAACCCAUGCCUCGAAACUGCUGCAGAGAUGUUUUUAUAUCAUAAUCCUCUCUCAGCCCCCCCACUUCCUGUUCACCUUCUCACUCACAGUUACAUAAGAGCGUCAAUGCCAAUAAAAAGGAGUCAACGGCACAUCUCCAAGCAACAGCCUAUUUAAGAAAUGCCAACCAGAGUCGAGGCUUUAAGUCUUUUCCCACAAAUGCCUUUUUUCAAUAAUGAAGCUAUCUCAGAUCACAUUAGCACUCUUGUUGUCCUUUUAAACUCCCAUGUACAAACCCAGAAUAGCGGGAGCUUGUCUUGAUAGCUUAGAGGGUCUUUACAGAUUGGUGCCUUGUAAUUUUCCUCUCAGAUUUCCUUCAGAAAAAUGACAGAAUCAGAUGACUGCUGAAAGCUUUUUGUGACAGCUCUACAAUUCAUGUAACCAAUGAUAAUGUUCAAUUCACAAGAAAAAUCCUUUAUGUGGGCCAUUACACAAUGCACGUAUGAAUAUGUAACGAGUUGUACAAGAGAAUAAGUUUUAUGCUUUAACACAAUAAGGACGGAGCCAGAUUGCAUUGUGCUGUAAUUACAUGGCUUCUCUUAUUCUGAGCGCGAUGGUGGGAAGAAGUGGGAGAGUGUGCGAAUCGCAAAGGCCUGUGCUUUUUUUUUUUUAUUAUUCGAAUUUCUCAAGCUAUUGAAAAGCCUUUACAACAGUAACCCUUGCAGAACUAACAAUGUGGAUUGUGCCCUCAUUUAUACAGUAUUAAAUGUCUGCACAGACGACCACAUAUUUGCUUUGUGUCGGGGAGGAGUGGGUGGUGGAAUAAAAAGAGACACAUAAGGGCAGAAGGGAAUUAAAGAGGUCUGAGGGUGAGGAGUAGGAAGGGAUUUUCAACAGACGCAUUCGGCUUUUAUGCAUAUCCCUACAAUUUUCUUCUUGGGUGCAAUAUAUCCAACUUAAGACAAAUGUUAACACUCACUAUGCCGAGUUAUCUUUAAUGUGUGAAUAUAAGAAAGCUACUUUUAAGACUUUCUUUUUCUUUCUGUACAACCCUAAAUCAAAAGACAGAGUUAGGAGUGUAAAGAGAACAAACUGCUAAUCUUACAUUUGAAGCCUGUAACAUGUUUCAAAACAGUUUGGACAGGGUCAUGUUUACCAUCAUGAUGCAUCACCUCUUCUUAGAUAUUGGUGAAACAAGUAGACCAGUUUCUCAAAUUGAAAAAGUGUAGUGAUGCAAAUUAUGUCUCUUUGUAGUGAGCCAGAUCAUUCGGCUCCCAAAUGGCUCUUCAUUUUACCACUUUUACAUUUUCUAAUUCAGCCAAAUUUAGCGUUGUUUGGCUUAUGAUAUGUACGUUUGUUUACAUAUCGCUUUAACAAUUCAAUACAUCCCUUGUACCGAAGUAUUCACAAGUAAAAAUUACGUUCUCUAAUAUCAGUAAAAUGCUACAGCCAUCAUGAGCGCACAAGCACAUGGCGCCCCCCUCUGCUUGGUUGCACAUAGCAUGUACGUGACAGUCAUGCACUGCACGCAUUGAGCACCUGUCAUCCUGUCAUUCUCCCAUCGUUCACGUAAAAGAGCCGGCUCUUUGAACCAGUUCUGACACAUCACUGUGAAAGUGAAAUCUUUUCCUUAUUCUUUCCUGAUGUAGAGGACAGUUUGGGGUCUUCUUUGUCGUGAUGCUCCAAGUGUUUUCAGUGGUUGAUGAACCAGGACUGCAGGCAGGCCAGGCUAGCAUAUACACUCUUCCACUAUGGAGCCAUGCUGGUGUAAUCCAAGGUUUGGUAUGGUCUUUCUGAAGUAUGCAAGAGCACUAGCCCCUGAUUUCAAGGGCGCCAUCUAGUGACAACAUUUGACAGCGAGAAAACUCCUGAAUUGGAUGAAGUGAGCCACUACCACAUUUGUUGGUUUGUUGACAGCACAGGCGUAAAUACAACUCUAUUUCUGCAGUUGUUAUAGGGAAAUCAGACAACUCUGCGCAUGUACAAAAGCUUCUAAUCUGAAUAUAGCUUGGUUCAUGUAUACUCACAUCAUGAUUGGACUAUUCAAUUUUGAGCCCAUAUAAACAGCAGAUUCAGAUUAUCCGAUCCCUCAAAUUGUUAAUCGGCAUGGCUAAACAUGGCUACUGUCAUUAAAAAAACAAUAGGGAUGAACAGGUUGUGAAAAUCAAGAGUGAUACUGAUGUUCAAAAUAACAAUAAAGACGAUCCUGAUCCUGAUUUUGGGGGUUUUCCAAUAUAACUGUGAUGUAACCUGCACACACACCUUGUGCUGAAAAAAGCUCAUGGCUGGGACUGAGAAAAGCAAUUUGGUUUGUUCUUUCCAUAUUUCUGUUGUUGAAGCAAAAUCAUAAAAUGGGAAAUUUGCACUCCAUCUGCAAAACAAUUUUUGGUAAUUGACAGUUUUAUAAGAGAGAGCGAAUUCAAUCAGAACACUGCAAUCUUCAAAGUAUGUCUGCGCCGCUGGUGAAGACAGAAACUGUGUCAUGAGGAGGAAAUUGAAUCCGAUGAAAAUAUACUGAGGCCCCUUUUUUUAUGUUAAAAGUUGGAUGAAUUGCACAUUUUAAACAGAAAGUUUGCAAGUCAGAGAUUAUUCUGCGGAAAUUAGACCUAUAAGACUCUGUGCAACAUUAAUUUGCGAUUUGGACCUGUAAUUAUCACACCUGAGGGAAAUAUGUCGAGGCAGCUGAUUGCAGAUGAGCGAACAGCAAUAUUAUUUUGCAGUAACCACAGAAUUGGGAGUUUGUGGACAAAGCCAUGAGUCAUGAAGACACUCACUUCACCAAGUUAUCUCAGUGUUGUGUUUUCAUAAUCUUACAGCCUUAUUUUCCAUCAUGAGAAAGAAUGAGUUCUUUUUUUUACAGUAUAAACGGAUCAUAUAAUGUAUGAAAACAAUCAUAUACUAUAUGAAGCCAAAACUUGUAGAGCUCCUCCUGGUGACUGACUGCAGUAUAGGUUUUGAAGCCUGCCUCCUCCAUAAUAAUAGAUUAGACAUUUUAUUCAAUUAUUGACCUUCAUUCAGCCAGGUUUGUCUUGUUAAGAUCAGAUAUAACUAAACUGCCUCACUGAUACGAUUGAACAAAAUAAAGUCCAGACUUCUUGUGAUGCCCCUAAAGGGUCAUGCUGCUGUGGGAGGUGUCUCUGGUUGGCUUCUCUCUGCACCCUGAUCAGAGCAACUAUGCACACCUGGGCCCUGGGUGCUGGGAGUAUUUAAGCCCUCACAGUUACCUGCAAUUCCCUCUUUUGUUUCUUCUGACUGCCUUUACAGGUACUUGGUUUGGUUUGGUUGGUUUGGCCUGGGUUGGCUUGUCUUGGCUUGUCUUUACUUUGAUUUUGUUUGGCUUGUAUUGGCUUAUCUUGACUUAGUUUGGUUUGGCUUGGCUUUUUUUGGUUUGUCUUUGGUUGGUUUGGCUUGGUUUAGUUGUAGUUUAUGUUUGCUCUUUACUCAUACACCUACUUUCACCCAUGCAAGCCUUACACAAUACUGAUUUUUACUGAUUUACACACCUCAUAUCUUGAAUAUUCUAAUUCGGUUCAAUUUGAAUUAAUAAAGACUUGUUCGGGAGUUUAUACAUGGUGCGUGACUUCCUUCUUCUUUUUGUUGUGACCACCUUAGCUAGGUCGUGACAAGCAGGGGCUCGUCCAAGAUUUAAAAGCAUUCAGACUCCUCUUUGAGGAGAAAGGGGCAAAAUAACUCAUCUUUCUUUACCAACUUAGUUUGUAUUUUUGGAAAGAAACUGCAAACAGAGGUCCUUCCAGGUGAAAAGAGAGGAAAGGUAGGAAUGGCUUUAUUAAUAAAGAUGACUGAUCUGACUUGUACUCAACAGUCUAACUGACUUUGGAAUAAUAAUUACAACGGUGAGUCAAAGAGGCACAGUUUGUACCAAAUCUCAAUGCACCUUGAUGCACUCGGCUUACAACACAAUCAUCUCUGAUUACACACUGAUGAGACCACUGGAGCAGAUGUCCAGUGAAAUUAGUCCUUCAAUAUAACAGCUCGACACUCUUUGUCUGUCUGCCCUAAAACUGUCUUCAUUGUCUUUCUUCUCUGGAAUUAAAUCAAUGAAAUACAGCCCCUCUCCUCCUUCAGGCCUCCUGACACACUCGUCCAUCACAGCAAACCGAAGCUUUGACCCGUCCUAACAAUGAACCUGUUAGCAGUCCACAGAGCCUGUCUUGAGUCAUUUCUUACAACAAGGCUGGUCUAAAUCACCUACAAUUGACCUUAGCUGCUGUCCUGUGGGGACCGUGUGUCAUAUACUCUCCAGUAUUUAUCAGCUAAGGGUCUUUAAGGAGGAUGGAGCAAAAAGGAAGGAAACACCGGUAUUUCUUGACUGCCAAGCUAAGUGUCCCCGUUUGACCCCACUGUACUGUCAUUCAUCAGUGCAUAAAUUGUGUUGAAACUGAAGAAACUUCCAUAUUUUGAUUGUUAAUGUAAAAUAUUCCCAAUAAAUUUUUUUGUGAUCAAGUUUUUAUUUAAUUUAACUGAGAAAUGUAGAAAGGUACAAGUCAAUAUUACAGCAAUCAAUAAGAUAUAUAUUCACAUAUACCCGUACCUAUAAAUGUAUAUUGUAAGGUUCGACCGAUUUAUUGGCGAGCCGAUUAAAUCAGCCAAUUUUAGCCCGUAUGAGACUAACUGGCCAAAACUUGCUGAUUGUUGCUGAUAUUUUCAGAAAUAAAAUGCGGAGAGUAAGAUUUGGUUUCACUUCGAAAAUGUUCCGCCAUUUUAAAAGAUUUCCUUAUCCUUACUUAUCCUGUAGAUAAGUCGGGGGAUCUUUUUUGAGUUUGUCAGAGUUUCAUGAUAAAUACGUGGAAUAUUACUGAGAUUAAUAUUAUUGAGAAGUGUUUGAAAGGCUCAAAAGCAACCGUUUGUUAAAAAGAUAGUAAAUAUGUACAUAUAUUACUUAAAUUAACAAAAAAUUGGCAAAUUAAUCAGUAAUGUAUGAUAUGAUAAGUGUAUAAAUAGAAGUAAGUAAAAAUAAUGAUAAAAACAAACGUACAAUAGGUUAAAUAAUAAUAAAUUACAUGUACAUAGUCCCAAUAAAUUAAAUGUAUUAUGUUAGACUCUAUUUAAGCAUAAACAGGACAAAAUAAGCAAGAAAAAGCUUUGAACAUAGGGGGCGCAAAAGCUGGCACAAAGCAAAAGUUCCUCACUGUAGCUUUAAGUAUAAGAAAACUACCAAAGUUGUGCAGAAACACACACAAGGAUUUACGAAAUCCACAGGUUUGCAAAUGUAUUCAAAUAAAUUCAUUCUUCAAAGGUUAGUGAUGAACUCAGUGGGAAGAUCUGAAAAAAAUAAUGUCAUAUAGAGAACACAAGACUGGAGCAUUGUUACAAAAUGAAGCAGUCCUUAAAAAUUGAUCUGAAAUGUUUGGCGCUCAAAGUUUUCCAUGGAGAACCCAGAACCUUUCUGGAUGUGCAAACAGAUCAUUUAAACACACAAACCAAUAUGGAUUUGCUAAAAACAAAGAAAUGUUUAAAUAAACUCGGAUGCACUAACAUGUAUACUGUACAUAUGUAUUUCUUGAAGGUCAAAAACAACCCCCCCCCACCACCACCACCACCACCACCACUACCACAGCAAGUAUCUUGUCACUCUGACACAUAUGGAAAUUUCCUGCUGCUUCAGCUCAAAGUAAGACACUCUGGUUACAUCUUCGUAGCACAUAUGGUCUAUAAAAUCCAUCAUGCUUGCACCCUCCCUGCAAACAUUAUCCCCCAUCCUCAGGCCUCCAAACUCCCAUCGGAUCUGGACUUGGCUGAGUGUGCUCUAAAGCUGGGACUGCGACAUAAGUACAAAAUCCAGUAACAUACAAUUUACAAAAUAAAAGCAUAAAGUGUCCUCGGGUUCUGUCGGGAUGAUUUCAUUUUGUGUAAAAUGAGGGGCAACUGCAGCUUUUGUAAAACUAUAAAGAACAAAAACAGAGUUUCAAAGUCCAGGGACAAAUAAAAAGCACUCCUUGUACCAUCUUCUCUGUGCUUGACCCGCCAUGACAAGGGUCAAUGGAAAAGAUUGUUUUGUGCUUGAGAGAGGGGAAAAUAAAAACAGAGUGCUAGCAGUGUGGAGUACAGGGAUGAGUCCCAACUGAGUGGUUGGAGUGGAAGGCCAGAGGUUAGAGCUGGGCCUCAAGAUGAAAUUGGGACUGGAGGAGAAACCUGCAAGGGUGUAGAGGUUUGCUGAGUAAAAAAGGGGGCUGAUCCGAAACCUUGAUGUGAGGAGUUGAGAUGUGCAAAAGUGCAGGACCUCGAUGUGGGAGCCGGGAUGCAGAAUUGAUACUGGAUCUGAGCCAGGAGCUGCAGAGAUUGAGUGCUGGGGGAGAGGACUUGAAAUGAGCUGUCAGGACUGUCAGGGUGCCUUCAAGUUGGAACAGUAACUUCUUUUGUCUGAUCCUCAGCUCGAUUACUAAUAAAGCAACACGAUGUGCAUUCAAAGUUCAGUGUUUGAGAGUUAGUUUUCAUGAUUUGAAAACCACUGACGCGGUUUUUUGAUCGUCCCUCUACGCGGUUAACUCCUGCACAGUUUCUUCGAAAGCCUCUGUGUGAGUUUAAGGGUGAAGAAAAGGUUAUCGAGUGUAAAAAUAGUGCAAGACAAGCGCAGUGGAAGUAUCAGGGGGUCUUAUUUUUGAGCUUUUCAUGUCAAAGAUUGUGAGAAUAUCCAGUUAGAGCUGCAAAAGAUAUUUGAUCUAAUAGUUUCGUCAUUUGAACCUGAUGAAUUCUCAGGAGGUUCAACACUUAAAGAAAUCCCGCUCACAUUAAACCACAAGCUCCUAUUUUCAUUUUCAGUUUAAGGCUACCCAAAGUUUCCAGAUUUACAUAAUAAAUAAUAAAUCGGCACCCAGCUUUUUAAACCCACAAUAACAAAAACCAAUUAAAAUUAUCUUCACCUUUUAAUCACUUUAGGAAAGGGACGCCGCUGUUUCUGUGCAUUAACAUCAAACGGAUAAUAUAAGUCUUAAGACUCGGCGCACACCAGAGGAUUUUAUUCGUCUUAUCUGAUUUCGAAAAACGUCAGAGACCCCACACAUGACGAGGACCGAUGACAGAUUACACGGCUUUAUUCCUGUAGUGUGUGGUGUGUAACGAUGUGGUGUGUAACGAUGUGGUGAACAGACCACACACAUACAACUUUAUUUUUUUAACAGCAGACGUCAGACUUUCAAAACUGAAAAUCUUGUGAAGUCAAACUUUAUUUUCAAGCAAACGAACAUGGCGGAAUGGCUGCUUAGUUUUCCGAUACAAUCCUGAUAUUCUCAUGUUUUUAACUCGUUCUGUACAACUGAAUUUCCCUUAUAGGAUUAGUCUCUGAACUGAAUGUGUUGCUAGUCAGUUAUUUCUUAUUUAAUAGUUAUUAAUUGUCCUCACAUCUGCAGUCAGAACACUGGAGAACACACUUUUAAGAUGUCAAAACUGUUUUGAGACACAGCUUUGUCAGAAAUGCGAUUAAUCGCGAUUAAUUGUUGAAACUGCGAUUAAUCGUGAUAUAUAUAUAUUUUUUGACAGCUCAAAUUAAGAUUAAAGAUCAGGUAGAAUUUUGUCAACAGCUUCAAUGGUGAUAAAAAGCUGCUUUAACUAAGUGAAGAGUCAGGUCAGGGGCAUAUAGACGGUGAUUAAUCAGUAUUUGAUUUCUUUCAUGCUGUUUUUCCUGCUAUUGAAAUUGAUGCAAAUUUUCUGACAGGCCUUCUAGUAAAUAUGAUGAUUAUUCCUUUUAAAUAAAAGAAAAGGUGUUUUACCAAGAGCAUAUUUUGAACCUUAUGAAAUUCAAGUUUUUCUUCUCCAAACAACCUCAUUACGUGUCAAGCUCCAACAUUUUUAAUCACAUUUUCAGACCUGCCGUUUCAACACAUGUUGCUCCCUUAUUCAAUCAUUUUCAAAAAGGAUGAGAUUAUUUUUAUUCAGAAUUAAAUCACCUUGAAUUUUUUGGUAAACAUUACCCAGCACAUCUAGCGUUAUUUGUGGAUCAGCAGGUGUGUUCCUGCUGCUCUGUCUCAAAAUUUGCAGAAAUUCGUGUAACACUGGAAACUCACGGAGCACAGCCCAACACAGCAGGCGUCUGAGUCACCUGUCAAGAAACAGGAGAAUGAGACGGCUUCCUUUGAAUUACUCAAAAAGACAGAUGGAAACACAGACGCUGAUGAGAACAGUUCUAUGGUAGAUAGCGCUGUCACACACUGAGUCACAUGUUGAAAUGAAACACCUGGAAAAGCUCAUGAAAUGAAGUGAUCGAUAUACAACAUGCUAACGGAGGAACAGGCACGUAAGCAGACGGGUCAAAACGCACACACAGAGUCUUUCAAAUGUUCGCACACACACAAAUGUGCUCUGCAAAGAUAUACAACCCUGUCACUGGUUUUGAUACAGCUUUGCCAGUAAGAAUAAUGACUGGGCUUAGACAGUUUUCCUGGAAUCCAUAGUUAUCUAUACACCCGGCUCAUCUCCUCGGCUUCAUGCACAGUUCAUCCGUCUUCUGUGCUGGAAGAUUUCAGCAGGAUUUCCGCCACAGAGUGUAAUAAUGUCGACAAAAGGAAAAAAGACACAUUGGCUCCUCUGCUUGUGUAUGAUAUCCCACUUUUUUUCAGCUAUAGGUGAACUGGGAAAAAGAAAAAAAAAAACAAAGUUUCCUGCAAAUAAAAGGUUCAAAAGCAGCCUGUCCUGGUUAGUGUCAUGACAGCGCUUCUGCAAAACCAGAUUAGUAAUUAGAAGCUUACAGUUAAAAAAACAAAAAAAACAAUAAAAGAGUCUGUAUUUUCAAAUGUGUUCCAGUCUCUGCUCACUUUUCCAAGUCUGGAUGCAGCUCCGAGUGUCCAUAAAUCAAGUGGGACUUUGUUGAAACUGGUAGAGCGUGGUUUCUGGUGCUUCUGCAGCCAGCUUCAAGUAGACAUUCAGAAAACUGCAGUUUCUUUGCACUUCCAAAUCAGCUUCAUUUCUCCGGACUGGAGGUUGCCACUUGGUUCCCUUCCACUGUCCUGAAGGGCUUCGUUUCUACGAAUGGAGCAUCAUAUUCAGCAUGCAUCACAGGAGCUUCUGGCAGGGUGAGCAAGGAAACAUUUUGAGAUAUUGCAAAAUACUUCCAUUUCUACACACUGUACUUGUAAUAACAUGACAGAUUCUCUAAACUGGGACCAACUUGAUAGGUAACAAACCAAACUCUACCUCCAUCAGGCAUGUAUUAAACCCACUCCAGUGUGAAUUUUUCAAAAGUAUCUAUUGUUGAAUUCACUUCAUUUUGACAUGAUCAGAAAAGUAUCGGCUCUGAGAGAUUUCUAAUGAAUAAUGUACAGCGCCAAAUUAACAAGUACAUCCUUUGGGAAACUUAUGAGCUCAAUGUUUGUUGGAGCAUCAAAUCACAGCCUGGAGUGACCCUGCAGACGGCAUGUCAUGUAUGAUUUUUAGGAUUACAGCUGACUGUAAUUCAAGAGGAAGACGAAACUAUCAGAGCUUUUGUUGAUCUGACUGAGCUGCGAGUUAUCUGUCAUAUCCUUUUUAUAUUUGUGUAAAGUAGAUGUAUUGGUCAUUGUCUUUCAUCUGGUGUGCUCUUAAGAUUAAGCACAUCAUGAACUGAGAUGAUAGAGAUCUUUCUUGUUUCAGAGAUUUCUGGCUCAGUUGAUUUCUGCAGUGUGAAAUAGAUCCAAGUGCAACUUUCCCAGGAUUGAUGCUCGAUGGCAAGCAGAGCCACAGAUGAACUAAGAGAAAAUAAAGCCAGCAGAGCAGCUUUAGGGCAUGUAACACGCAGCAGAGACUGGGUUUCUUCCUCAGUGGUUACUUUAAUGACAGCAAGAAACUCAAUCUGGAGCAGGAAAUAAAACACAGGAAUGGGCCUCGGCAGGAAUCUGCUGCUGAAUCCAGCAGCUGUACUCCCUGUUGAGACAUAACUCAACUCCUCUGUUGAGAAAUAUGAAGUCCACAGGUGAAACAAGAUCAAAACAGUGCUCCUAGUGUGCAGCAAAGCUCACUAUUCCUGUGCGCCUUCUUUGAAAUCCUGCUGCAAUGUGGGAAAAUAGCGAAUUUACAAAAAGUACAGCCCUAGAUUUUUUAUUGGUGUCAUUGUUGUGAUUAAGAAGCAUGAAAAAAAAAAUUUUACAGGCUGACUGUGAGCUAUGAGGAGGAAGCAGUUCAAAGAAAAGAAAGGUAACAUGAAAAUAAAACUCAUUUACAAGAGCAGAGCAGGAACAGACUGAGAGCUACUGAGGCAUUCCUUAAGAAAAGUUUAUUUAUUCAUCACUUUUUAAUUUGAAGACGACAGAGGAUGGAAAAUGAAAGUGGGGGAAGACGGCGAGAUAUGACAUGGUGUAAAAGGCCAAAGGUCAGAAUCGAGCCAUCUGCCUGGAGGGCUGAAGAGGGGACACAUGACUGAAGAACAAGCUAAGCUAACACAGAUGGCUAAUAUUUUACCCAAAUAGCAAAAAGCUAACAUCAGGGUGAAGCUGAAUAUGGAGUCAAGACAUCAGUGACACCGAUAAGACCAGACACAGCACAGAGUCAGGUGGAGCAGGGGUGGAGGUGAGCUGCAGAGCAGUUGCAGUAGAGGACAAUCAGCUGAGCCGUUAGCUCGUUACUAGAGUUGGUAUAACUAGAGAAGCAAGCGGUCUGCAACAGCCAUCUAACUCGAUGUUACGCUGUGUUUUUCAGUGUAAGUCAUAUUUUUGUGUAUUUUUUUUAUUCUAUGUUAAAUUCAACAGGAACAGUUCUCGACCAGGAUCCUGGACUGUUGGUGAAACUUGAGUUGAAAUCCUGCACCCUUUCGGCCUUUAACAAAAUAAUAAAUUACGGUCCUAACAAGGCGGACUGGCAGGCUCACACUGGGUGACUCCUUGAAGGGCUCGGUGUCAGCUUUUGGCAAGAGGCCUCUGACACAGCAGGUGGUCUGGAGUUUUCCAGACAGGUCCUGUGUCUCUGAGGAAGGUUUUUGAACAGGUGGUAGCCUGGGUGCAAGGUUUAUGACAAUCCUCGGCGCCAGUUUCUUUUCUGCCCGUGGCAUUAGAGUCAUCAGUGAUCGUCUGCUGACAGCUUCUGACCUGCUCAGCCGUGCAGACGUCUCUGUGCAGUUCGACGGCGGGGCCAGAGGUGGCCUGCUGAUUGAUAGGUCUGGAGGGCAUCUGAGCGCUUCAACUAAUUAUGAUUAAUGCCUCGGUGUCUGCUGGAUCACAAACUGCAGAUGCGUGAAAUUAACUUUAAUUACUCGGUUUGUACAGUUCAGUUGUUUUUGUUUUGUUUUGCUCUGAUAGAACAGAGACCGAGCUUCUGUGUGGAUGAGCUGAAUACGUCAACCAUCGCAGGCUCAGGGUGUGCAUUUAGAUGGGCUAUAUGUAAAUGAUCUAUGGAUCUGGAGCUUAUUCAGACGCUGCAUAUUUUAGAUGUAUAUGGUAAAUAUUUCAUCUCACAGACGGCUUGGUUUUACUUCACUUUGACAUUUCACCUCUCUGUGCAGAAUCGUGUGUUCAGAGGAUCAGACAAAGACUUUCCACACUCUUUUCAAACUCCACAAACUUAAACUAAAAAAAUAAUAAAAAAUCAUCAUCCUACAGACUUUCUAAUAGUUAACUGAUAAUGCUUGUGUAUAAACACAUACUUGCAUGUGAACAUAAAGUGUGAUGGGCAAAAAUCUGUCAAUAUCAUAAGCUAAGUUAACUUCAAAAACCACAAAAUAUUUUAAAAGGUCCUAUAAGAAGUUUUUGGAUGUGAAUUGAACAGACUGAAUUAAAGGCGGGGUAGGCAGGAUCUGAGUUAGUGCCAGUUUUUGGAGAGGAAUCUUGAAUGUAAACUCUACCCCUCCCAACCACUUUUCUCCUCAGCUCCUCAUCUCCCCUCCCUCUCUGCCCCAGAAAGCCCCGCCCACAAACAGACGCUCCUGCUCGCUCUUAUCGUUCCAAUUAAAUUCAGAUAUAAUGCAGAUAAAUACUUCAGAUAAUUACAAAUGGGGCCCAGUCAAUGUGAAGUAAAGAGCAUUUACUUUCUUGCGCCUGUUACUUGCGCACAGGCGCAAGAGGGUGUAGGUGUCAGCUUAGUAGCUUAAGAGAAAGCACUGUUUUUAUAUUAACACAUAAAUUAUUCACAGUAAAUUAUUCAUUUGAUCAGAAGUCAGACAUGAACUAUCGUACAAGAAGUCUAUUUGAUUUUUUAUUAUUAUUUUUUAUUUGAUUUAGAGUAAAGGCUGAUCCAUGUCCCAUCUGUUUACAUGGAGGAGGCAGGCUACAAGACCUAUGUCAGCAGGGAGUCAUUGAAGCGUUUGGCCUCACUUUUGGGGCUGUCCUGUCAUCCAUCAUUUAUUGUUUCAUAUUGUGUUAUCUCUCAUUAAAGAAAUAAAGGUGGGAAAAAAAAAUGUUAUUCUAGCUGAUGUGAGAAAGAAAAACAGCCAGUUUUUGUGAAGGUUUGUGCGUUUUUUCCUUCAGUGCUUGAAGCGAAAAAAUGAUCCAAAAAUUAAGGUUUUAUUUUCUGUGUCUUUUUCCAGCAGUGCUCUCAGCUUCUCACAAUCAGUGCUGCUCUCUUGCAAUCAAGCUCAACAAUCAAAGUUGGCCAGACCUCUUCGGCUCAAAUAUUCGCUGACAAACUGGCACUAACUCCCACUCAUUACGCUUUUAAAUUUUUUUCCGACGUAAACUUGUCAUCUUGCCUCUUCAAGUUCCUAGAAUAUAAACAGUUUUAACUAAAUCUGUCUGCAGGCUGCAGGUUUUAAAUGCAGGCUCACAUCUAACCACCAUCUCCCACCUUCAAGUUCAAAUGUUUGUUGUGCAGUUGGAAAUUGUAUGCUUUUAACUGGCUGUAAAAGCCUUUUCUUACGGUUGUCUACCUACUAAACAGCCCUUAUCUUAUAGAUGGCCUCCCCCGGUGUGAACAUGAUAAAUACUCUUUUAAAGCCACAUUAAACCGCCUCAUUUCAUGCUGGCUUGCUUAAAGUUGCAUAGAUCACACUUAAUGGAGUCAUAAGAUCGCAUACAAUAUUCAUGAGCUCUUCUCACAUUCAGCCAGCUUUAUAAAAAUACACUGAGCAAACUUUAAACUACCUGCUUUUCUCGCUUUCGCUUUUGAGUCCCCCUCCUUUGUGAUCUUUUUUUGGAGCGAUCGUCGACUCGCUUUCGGUUUCUGCUUGGGAAAAAAAAUGUCCACAACUGCAAAGAGGGCUCUAAAUAAAGCAGAUGUGAGGAGAGCAUAAAAAAUCAAGAUAACAGCUUUUUUAUGACAACAAAAGAUUUUUAGAAACAAAGAUAAAAGAAGAAAGACAUUUGAACCAAUAAAUGUAAUAUUCAACAACCAGAAUGCACAUAAGAGUGGAUGAGUUUUGAGGUUUGUGCUCUUAUGACAUUGUUUAUCACAAUGUUUAUCACUACUGACAACAGCUUUUCUACUUUUAUUUCCAUUUAAAUUUGCAUUUUUCUGAACAGUGACAUUAAAUUAACAUUAACACUUCCUCUAACUCUGUCAUAGUGCACCAAUUCAGCCCUUUAUGUGUGUGCUACCAGUGCCAUAAUAAUAUAGAGGCAGACCACAGACUGUUGAAAUGUAUGUCACAAAUGCUCAAUGGCUUUGGAGCUCCCCCUACUGACUUAAACCCCGCCCCUCUCAUGUUAACUGAUGGAACAUAGGUCAAACUGUAAAAGUGGAAUAAAUACUUUGCUAACAUGGUUUCUGUCAUCAUAGUUAGUUCUUAUCCUGCAGAUUUAUUUUAUUUAAAAUUGGGGGCCUUCCAGUUAUCUGUGCCAGAUUAGCAGAGUAGAGGAGAAAACCUGACAAACACUGAUAGAGGAGUCACUGAACUUUUAAUAUCUUUAAGCUUCUACUUCAAAUCAGGGCUGUCAUGGAUGGUAACCAUUGUUUCAAAAAUAAAAUAUUAAUAUUCUGCUAAAAAUAAACAUACCACAUCACUGUGAGUUACGGAGACUGGAAGGUGACAUUAUUUUUUUUUGUUUGUUUGUUUGCACAUGUGAUUUAGUAUCUCACUCAUGCGUUUUAUUAUAUCGUUGAUACGUUGAUAAACCAAAUCACUUCCUGUAAGUCCGAAUAUCGCCGAUGGCAAAGUCGCUGUGCUUUGAGGAUCCUGAUGAGCUGUCUCCUACUCUAAACAAUUCAAAAAUCUAUAAAGCUUCUCUUUGUGGGUCAUACCUAAAUGAAAGAAAAUGUUGAUAUAUGCUCUCUGUCCAUGACUCUGUCCUAUUUACAAAAAUGCAUGCACAAGAAAUAAAUAAAAUGCACGUUUGAGAUACUUAAUUGCACGUGUGAAUUUAAAAAAAUUAAAAGUUCACAUCACCUCCCGGGCUCUGUAGUGAGUUCAUAGUAGUGGCUCAAGUUUGUCAGUGGUGGGUAGAUGAAGAAGAAGUAACAGACUGCUAGUGAGCUCACUUUAUCAUCACUUUUACAAACUAACAAUUCAAGAUUGAUUGUGAAUCUUAAAACAUCAAAGCUUUUAUCUAUUUAGGUUACCAAUUACCUUCUAUUACUUACCAAUAACUUACAAUCUACCAGAAGUAGUUACUUCAAAAUAAAAGCAUAGUUUGACCUUGUAGGAAAUAAUAAAAUAGGGUGUGACCUCAGCCCUGAAACUUUAACAGCCAGGUCACUUGUGUUUAUUUGUCUUCUAGUUAGUUUCCAUCUACGUAUAGAAUAAAACAGUGUCUAGAUCAGCAAUACUAAUAACUAAAGAUUAAAAUAGCACUAUUUUAUGACUUACAGGAACAGUAUAUUUAUGAAUCACUAUCAUCUUAUUAUCAUCUCUAUCCUGAGCUGAGCUACCUUCUAAAAUCCUCCUCUGUACCUCCUCUUGUUUUGAGCUGUCUUUUCUGGCUGAUUUUCUCCAGAGGUUAAAUUCCAGGUGCAGUCCAGGAGCUGGCAGCAUAAUGAGCUGCUGCUUUUGUAAAUCAAGGCUGAGUACACACAGAUUGCAGCCAUAAGCUCAAUGAAAGUUGCACAUUUGCAUGACACCCCUUUUUCCCUGCAAAUACGGCCCUCAGAGUAUUUGUCUUUAGUGAGAAUUCUUUGUUUUUCUUUCCUUUUCUUUCUUGAGGCUGAAAUGGAAAUCAUUAACGACAGCUUGCAUUUGCAUUUUGCAUGCAAAAUUAGGAGGUGCAAUAGCUACUCGGUGUGAGAAAACCAUUAGAUUUCACUUACAUCCAGAGAAAAUCCCUGGAGGGGGGUUGGAUUCUCAAAUUACAUUUGGUCCCCAGGUAGUUUUGUCCAUUGCUAAUAGGACACUUGCUAUGUAGCCUCAGAGUUUUCCUGUGCUAAUGCUUGUCAAAAUGACCCAUAAGGAGACUGUUUUUUUUCUGCAUAAGGGAGAUAACUCCAGAAUUAAGGCAAUGCAUAUAAGAGAUAGCAAACCUUUUUAUUUCUGCUCAUGCAUAAUGGCUCUGCAUGUUUUAAACCUGAAUUUAAAUAAAAUGGUUAUGCUGUGAAAUAAAGCCAAUUCAAAUGCCCAAGAUGCAUGUUAACGUCAGGGUAAGAAUCUACUUUCUUUCUGUUUGAUAUGACUGACUGUAAACCUGACUGCAGUCAUUAUAUAUCACAGUUAGUCCCAUCACGACUUUGCAUGCUCUCCACAUUUCACACCAUGGUAUAUUUCAGGCCGCAGACUCUCUAUUCUGUGUUGCAUGGCUUUCCAUAAACAUACCUCAGGAUGUGAUGGUGCUUUGCUUUAUGGGUGGAAUGGUGCAUUGUGGGUAGAUGUGAGCCUUGUUUACUAUUGUGCUUGAUGUGCUCACAGCAAAACCCCUUGGAAAAGCAGCAGCAGUAACAAAAGUCAUUUCCAGUGAUGAAGAACGCUCUCUCGGUUAAUGUUUUGGAAUAAAUGCUCUGAGGCGACCGCGUGGACCGUUUAUGGAGUUUAUCUUUGGUUUUAUGGACGGUUAGCAGAGUUGAAGGCCUUUUCUUGGAGAGUUUUUGUUGUGCUACAUCAGGUGAAGUUAGUGUCGGCCAUCUGGGCCGUAGAGCACACUCAAAACACACUCUUAUUUUUUUGUGAAUUUUACCUUGGAGGAACAGUUUCGUGUGCUUCAUCUGUGUCCCAAUGAAGGGUUCAAGAGCUUUUCUUAGAUGAGCUCUUUUAGGUCGAAUAAAAUCAAAAUGUAUUUUCUGUACUCUGGCCAAAUUUAGUUUAAAAAAAAACAAACACGUUUGCUAUCUGCGAAAGAGGAUUAGGGCCACGUGAAGCAAAAAAAUAAUUACAGGAAGGAGAAUGAAUUCAAAAUUUCAAGAUGAAAGUCGAAAUUUCGAGAUUAAAGCUGAAAUUUCGAGACUAUAAGAAUCGCAAUUUGUCAAUAAAGUCAAAAUUUUGAGAUUAAAAAUUGAAAUUUCAGGAUUAAAGUCAAAAUUUUGAGAUAACAAAAUGCCGAAAUGUUGUGAAUUAUGUCAAAAUUUCAGGAUUGAAAAAAUUAAAAUUUUAAGAUUAAAGUCGAAAUUUCACGAUUAAAGUUAAAAUUUCGAGUAUAAAAAAAUCGCAAUUAUGGCAAUAAAGUAGAAAUUUCAAGAUUAACGAUUGGAAUUUAAAGAUUAAACUUAAAACUUUUGAGGUAAAAAAUGUUGCGGUGAUGUGAAUAAUGUCAAUUUUUUCGAGAUUGAAAAAGAUCUAAAUUUUGAGAGUCGAAAUUUCGAGAUUAAAAUUGACAUGAAUAUAGUCAAAAUUUUGACUUUUUAAAUUUUUGACUUCAAUCUCAAAAUUUAAAUUUAAAAAAUCCUUGCUGGGUGAAGCCUCCGUGAGAACAGCACCCUCUGGUGAUAGGCUGCAGUAUAGGUCUCCUCCAGCAAUCCCUAUGGAGUUGUGGACACACUUUAGAAAUUAAUCACACAGAAUAUAAAUUUCUCGUUCCUCUGGUUGCGAUGUUGACAUGUAGGUAUUGUAAGACUGGUUUGUGCUCAAGUCCUCUUUUUUCCCCAUUUUUUAAAGCUAAUAGGGGGUUUAAGUUUUCUAUUACCGACACUUGAUACAGCCUAUGGGCGUACGAAGAUUGCGUAGCUCACCCAGGGGAUAUGCUGUUUGAGCCGAGCGUCAUCACAGCGACUCUCCCACCAAUACAGUCUAUGAUUGGUACCUAAUGUAAAAUGUAAUAUGCAAACUAAUGAAUAUAAAAAUGUAAAAAUGUACAAAGAUAUGAUAAAGCUAACCUUGAUAUUGCACACAUUCAAACCAAAGGAAUUUAGAUAACAUUGUGACAAAUGUAGGAGAGGCAGCCUUCUCAGGGGGCGAACUUUCUUAGCAGAGCCUGAGGUUUAAAUAAUAAACAUCGAGGAUAUUUAGUUUGCAUGAGGCCGGAUGAGAAUUUCAGACACCCUACACACUGACAGGGUCAAAAACCUGACAUUUCCUUAACCUUUCCACCAACAAGUUUGCAAGUCAGAGCAAACUACUUUACCUUAUUUGACUUUCAGCACAUGCAAAUCAAUAUGAAACUUUCUCUCUGUAUAACUGUAUUUAUAGGUUUUUAUUUCUGCAUAGAACCAGAGUUAUAGACCCGAAAAUGCAGGCUCAGUCAGGCCAGAAUGCAGUGCAAGAGUUUAUAGGACUAUUUUGGUAUUUUUUGGAGUGAGGUUACAUGAGUCAGGUGUAUUUGGUACUGGUCAGCUCGGCUCAUUCAAAGGUAAACCAUUGGUAGAAGCAGGAAGUAGGGUAUGCUACAGUUUUCUGCAGAUGGGGUCAAGUCUGCAACCUAAAUAAGUACAUUUCAAGAGUCUCUGACCCAAGCAUUCAUCUCAGUUAAUGUGUUUGCUCUACUGAGAAAUUUUCCAGCACUUUGCCAUAAAGAAGCCCAUUUGUUUUUCCUCUGUUUGCUCUCUGAACAGACUCUAUUUGGGAAAACAUACUGCUAUAAAAACCGAUCAAAAUCAGUCUCUUAAUCUCUUGUAACCGCUGGUUGAUUGGUUUGCACUUGCAUGAAAUUACUGUCAAAAUCUUCAGUGCUUUUCCUAUUAUGCGCCUGAUUGCAAGUCAAACAAAUCAUAAUUGCACAUUUUAAUCUUUAAGUAGAUCUAUAAGUAGAUGUGCACACACACACAGUUUAUGUCAGUGGGUGUUUAAAAUGGAUUGAUUUGCAUGUGAUGUACAACCAAAAGAAACUAACCCAAACUGUGAAAAAGGCCAGGUGUAUUUUUAGAGUUAACAGAGAUUCAUAAAUAUAUCUGACCAAAAAUAAUGGUUUGGUUUUAUCCUCACAGGGCUAUCAGUGUCUAAGAGAUAAAUAAAACAUUUCAUACAUGAUGUUUGUGCUUUAACUGGACAUGACUUAUCGUACCGUCCUCUUCUCCUCGGUUUGCCCUUGUGUUUUCAGAGCACCAUCAUACAAGAUAAGAAAUGACCCCCAUAUAAAACAGAUAAAGUCUGAGUGUGGGCAGGCAGAUUAAUCAGGACACUCCUCAGGAGGCUGCGAUAAGCAUGAAAACAGUACAAACUCUCCUCUAACACGCACACAGUGAGCAAAUGCAGCUCGAAUAUUAUCAUAACCGUGCGGCAAAUCCUCUGAACAAAUCCAUUCAGCUCGCUCUUUGUCUGCCUUUUUUUUGCUGUUUUAUAAGCUUAUUAUAGUUGAUUAGGUCUUUAUUUAAUUUAACUAAGUCCCUUUGAGAAUUCAUGAAACAGAGCAAGAACAAAAGACCUGGUAGGAUUAAGUGCUCUUUAGUGUGAUUACAGUCCUGAUCUUUGGGGCUUACCCGUGCUAACAUUUGUCUUCAUGUACUGAGAGAACAGAGCAUUAGGUUUGUUACAGCUUCUUACUCACACUUUCAGCUUUUAAUGCAUAAAAAGUUUUAUAAGUUUCUUUCUUUUUACCUUUCAGGGUGAGAUAGGACACUGCAGUAGCCUCCAUGUGAAACCAUAUGGAUGUAUUGUAGCUAUGAAUGUAUAAAGACUGAAAAAAAAGCCACAAAAUCUGGCUGAUGGAAAUAAAGAGAUGCAUGAGAAAUGACAGCUUAGCUUGAAAAGCCAUUUUGGGCCAGGACUCACCCCCACCAGAUUAAGCUGUGCACUCGCCCCCAUUUAAAUGAGAGAAAGAGGAGAGAGAGAGAAACAGCAAGACAAAUGAUGUUAAUAUGCUCUUUGCAUAGAUGUGACUGUUGCAGCGCGGUGAUUUAAAGGCCUCACUGUCGUCCACCCUCCAUGUUUUGACUCUUGUGUUUUUUCUCCUAGUUUCUGUAGCUCUCUUAGUCAUCUGACUUUAAGGAACUGGUGAUUUCCACUCAGUCAGACCAAGUUAAAGCCUCUUCUUUUCACUUCCUCUUCUGUCUGAAAUAUUAUCACCAUUAUUUUUGGUACAGUACAUCUCCUGAAGUAGCAGAUGUUUACCUGCUUCAGUCCGGCUUACUUUGGUACCCCAUUAAACCUUGGAGGAAACUUGAACAGAGACUUGAUUGACUUCUCAAAACACAGGAGAUCCGGUUUAGAGUUUUGAUCCAGGACAUCUAUUUUCUGCAUCUGUUUGAAGAUAUUUCUUUGCAUAGUAAAAUAAACUGUUGUCAGAUAAUCCCCAGUAGAUUAGAGUUAAUAUGUCACUGCAGUCUGCUUUGGCUAAUCACACAGACUGUAUUUCCUGCACACUCCAAAGCCCGCUAAUAGGUGACUGGUCAGUACAACUCAAACAGCAAAGAGGAACUUGAACCUGUUGCAUGCUGACGGUCCAGACCCCCUGAGUGCAUGUUCAGUAUUUUUAAGUAGAAUCUGUAAAUUGAUGUUCGUUUUUCAUCAAAUUUGGCCGACCUGUCUGCACUGUCCACAUCACAUUUGACACAAUCACAGUUGUAUACCUGCAUUUAUAAUCUGUAUAAAUAAACAACAAAAGUGUCCCCCAUUCUUAGCAAACCGUGCCAUCACUCUUUGUGAUGUUUACCUCUGGACGUUAUGUGCUGAAUUAUUUCUCUAUUUCUGAGGUCAGAGUGACAGCUAUCACUGUAGAUGUUUGAUCAAAGAGGUUUAUGCAGUGAAACACCAGCUGACUGUCCAUGGCCGCAGUUACGAUUCAGUUGUGUCACUAAAAUGAACAAUGAAACAAGUUAAGUUUGAACUGAAGCUCUAUCUUUGUUUGGUUGCACCGUGCAGACUUGAGGUGACUCCACUUUGAUCAAGAGAAUCUCAUUUUUGAAUUCGAGAGUCUGACAGGACACGUGUCUCAUCUUUGGUUUUUAUAUCUGCCAGUAUCUGUCAGGGCUGGGCGACAUGGCCUCAAAUCAACAUCACGCUAUAUAGAGCAGUUCACCUUGAUAACGAUAAGUGGACGAUAACUACUUCACAAGCUGCUCACCCCCUCCCACAUUAACUUUGUCUACUUCAGCCGCCGCUCCAGCCGCUAAAACGUUUGAACCGUCCUCCAUCUCCUCACCUGUCUUUCCCUCUUUGUUAUGGACUGGAUGGGGUGGAGUCAUAUCUUAGACGUAGGACAGCGUCUUAAAGUUACCUAAGACCAUAGCCUACCGACACACAUCCAAAACCAACUUCUAUUUACUUAUUUUUUUACACCAAAUAUACUGAUAUGGGCAAAAUGACGGUUUUUGUUGUAAAUGUCGGUAUCUGUAAAUUUUUGGUUUAUUGCCCGGCCCUAAUCUGUCAGCAGGUUUGCUUAUUCCAAUCCACAGCACUUCACUUCUCUUCUUCUGAGGGGGGGCUUUUCAUCUUUGGAGCCUUCAGCUUCUUCAUCGUCCCUCCUCCUCCUCUUGGACUGACAGGCUGAAGCUGAACCAACAAGAGAGAGAGACAGAGAGAAGAAGAGUGUUUGAUUGUCCAUCCAACAAAUGCUGAUCAAAUAUUUCCCCAGACUGAUAAAUCUCCAAUAACUCUCUUCCUAAAUCUGGGGGUUUGAAGCAUCUUCAGAAACAUCCCACAUCUUCCAACAGUAGCAGGUUUUUGUCCAGAAACACAACUUUCACACACACAGGACAUGAAAUAAGAGGUAGGCUAUCACUUUUUCUGCAGGGGGCGCCAGUGUGACCACCAAUUUUAAACUGGGUGUCUAUUUCUCAAACUCUAAAUCUUUCUGCACAUCUGGUUCACUGUUUUGUGCAACUUCAGGUGAAAUAUUUUCCAGCAUAUUUUCGUUGUUACCAGCUUGGCUCUGUGGGAAAACUCAGCUUUCAUUUUCAGCUUUGUGCAUGGCUAUCCAAUUAUCCAAGAGAAAAACAGCUUUCGCUGCCUCAACAAUGGGACAUGGAGCCUGAUUCAGAAAGUCAGAAAACUAAAGUGUUCAGGGAGAAAGAAAACAACUGGCUCCUCACUCCCUGGAUUCUCAUUUAGUCUCACUCACGCACACACCUACACCUAGAGGAGUUUGGUUUGAUUCCUCUUAGGGAGUAAUUAGAAGCUGCUCUGGUCCAUCUGGGGGCCCCCUCACCGCUCUCCAUUACACAAACCCACUCAGCAGCGACAGCGCAGCACUCGAUUGUUGCUGAAUGAGUCACAGAAAUAUUUAAAGGGGGAACUCAGCGGUGUGAGAUCCCCAAAUAAAGGUCAUCUCAUACUUUAAGACAGCUCCAUCUUUCCCUGUCCUCAAAAAAGGUCAAACUCUCCCCAGGUCUCUGACACAGAGCUCAGCAAGCACACAUGGAUAAUAGACCGGAAAGGAAAAUAGUUGUGAUGCAGUUGAGGUCGAGUCCUGAUACACUUUAUUGUACACUGCAGGAGGAGGAGGAGGAGGAGGAGGAGGUCCAAAGAUGUGAUUAAAAAAUCUUGCCCUGGAGAAACUGGAGGUCAUUAAAGCUCCUCUACAGACACAUCCGUCUUCAUUUUCUGUCUUUUUCCUGAUGAUGAUGAAAAAUCUCUUUUUAUUUGGUCCUAUGGGAGAUGAAGCUGACCUAACCUUGUUAGCCAAUUGCAAUCUCAUGACCCACCAUAUCUGUCAAUGACAUCUCGGGCUUGAAGUAAUUACUGCUACAGUACAUGAAUGUAACUAGAGAGCGUACAAACAUAUAUCAACCACCAUCUGGGGCAGGUUUUUGUCGCAUAUUGGGCUGGGAGAUAUGGCCUAAGACCAAACCUUGAAUUAUUUCUUUUUUUAACGAACAAAGUUUAUGAUUUUAAUCAGUUUUUCCUUCAACUCAAAGAAAGUUCCUGGAUGGUUAGCUACCUCUAUGGUCAUCAGGGGAUUCAGCUGUUCGGAGGCAGACACAUUGCAGAGCCUAGUCGUUGUUGAUAAAACACAUUGUUAAACUUGUACUGCUGAAAAAAAUGACAUCCCUCACAGCUCUCGAACAUUCUUUUGAUACGUUCUAUAAGCAGCAACAGACUUGUCGAUUUUACAAGUUUAGUUUUAGCAGGUUGACCAUAUUCUGGGGGCGGGGUCACAAAGUCACACCAAGUCAAUUUAAUUGUCUUUUACGCGCUUCUUACUCAGUAAGUCUGCAUGUCACAAACUCGAAACUUCCGUACAAAACCACAGACAUUUGAAGGAUUUCAUAAACUUCUCCGGACAAGGCCGGACAGCCCGUUCAGCCCCCCAAACAAGAGGUUAAAGAGGACGUAUGGUCAUCCUAGUUUUAGUACAUGCUACCUGUUAGUGUUUAGGAGCGGUAGCACCAGCGGCACCUUUUUCCUCCUCAAGUACUUCGCAGUGGAGCUGAUUUGAAGAACAGUUCUUUGUAGAUGAUAUGUUUUUGUCCUCCAUGCACAACUGACAUUUAACCAUGGAGGUGUUUUGUUGUCAAUUUAUCCCAAAAUAAUAAUAAUAAUAAUAAAAAUAACAUCAGUAUGAAAUUAAUCUCACUUAAGCUUAACUGGACGCACCAAGCUGUAACCAGGUUUAGUACGUCGGUAAAACUGUUCUUGUAUCGGAGCUUUGAUUGGCACUCUUUGGCUUUUGGAGUCAGCCUCAAGUGGACACUGAAGGAACUGCAAUUUCUUGCUUUUCUGCAUGGUCUUCAUUUUUAAUAAUCUAAGCUGCCGUGGCCUUUUAACCCCGUACAAACCUUAUGGUUCAUGAAUGAAGAAAAAGACCGAACUUUGGGGAAAGUUAACACAUCUUUUGCUUAUUUGAAAGAACAUCGUCUUGAACUUUAAGCCUGAAAUCUUCUGUUUUGCAAAGUUUUGCAUAAAGCCAGUAAAAAAUCUAUUUACCCUACACCAAUAAAUAUUUUGUUUUUCUUAUUCCAAUCAUGUCUUUAGUUUUUUAAAUUUGAUUUGGCUUUAACAAGAGUAACUAACUUCUUCAUAACGGCCCUGAAUAGCUCUGCAGCCUGAGAUUUCUUCUUAUCUAACUUGCCAACACUGCAAACACUUGUGUCUCAUGGACCAAUUCCAGGUCAAAAAAUCUCAUAAAACUGAACAUAAGCCACCGUUAUCAGACAAAUCCAGGUUUUCAUCUUAUCUUGCAGUUUUAAAAGCCAUAAAAAGGAUUUGUUUUCAGUACCAAGUACCAAAUCUGUUUAAUAAGUUUCCAGAAACAAGAUGUGGUAUCGUCAUCAAGAGAUGAAAAUGGCUCACAUGGCAAUUACACCCGUCUCAUAUGAGAAAAACUAUGUCCUACUUACAAACACUGAAGUAUUAUCAAGAGCAGAUUCAUGUUUGGAGUUCAGAUCUUUUGUUUUGCUCAGAUAAAACUCGACGAGUUUCAGGCUAUACAUCCUCCCUAUCACCCCAUAAUUACUUCCCAUCCUCCAGAUAACUUCUUUGACCACUCUUAGCGUCUGUGGUAGAAGUAGAAAUUAAAUGUCUGCUCCUCAUUGACCUUCUCCUCUAGGGUCUUGUUUGUUUUCUUUAUCCUUAUGAAGCAGCCAGCAGCACAGAGAGAGAGAGAGAGAGAGGAAAUACUCGCUGCUCUGCUCUCCUCUCUGUCAGCUUCUGCUCACUGCUCUAGUCUGAGCUCGCAGAUCUCGCCUGCAGCUGUGGCUUUUAAACACAAUGUCGGUUUCUCUCCUCUGACCGGGGCCUUUCUUUACCUCGUUACGCUGGAACUGAAUUCGGUGUGAGAGCAUAAAAGAGGAUUUUUGAGACAAACAUGGGGGAACACAUCAGAGGGAAAGCCUUCGGUGUAAAUCUGAUACACUGACAGCGAUUCAUGCUGGUGUCCGGGGUCCUAUGGAGGAACUAUUAAAUAUGAAGGACAUGGUAUUAUAGAAGGUUAAACCUCAAAAUUAGCAGUGUUCUGGUUCUGGUUAAGUAUAAGGGCCUGUGUCCAUGAACAGCAUUUUUGUUCAGGUAGUGCACACAGCCUUAAUUUCAACAGAACUUACUGCUGUGACAGACCUUGAAAACGUACCCCCUAAAAAAUGUGGUUAGUUUCUACCCCAUAUUGACCUCCACUAUUGUGCUUGACAAUGUUGACACCAGAAGUCCCGCCCCUUUCUAAAUUUGAUUGGUUAGUGAAGUGGAAGUGACACUAAUGAGAUGGUAAAAAAUGUAAAACCAAUUUCAGCUGAGGAUGCAGCAACAAAUAAUGAUGCUGAGGCUGUUUUUGUGCCUAAAGGAAACAGAUACAAACAUAUUUUGUAGUUUUGAAUGUCGACACUAAACCUCGACAAAGUUUCAGAACAUGAGACACACAGAUCUUGGCUGAAUCCUCAGACAUGUUUUCUGGCUUCUCCAAACUUUGCCUUUCCUCUUGGCAGCUCAGUCAUAGACAUGCCCACCCGGAGGCUGGAAAGUCCAUUUCACUGCUUGGCUGUUCCCUCCACUCUGUGCUCUGUUGAUUUGGGAAUUUGGGUUGUGAAGGAAAGCCAGAGCUGCGUCCUCUUUCCAAAGAUGGAGGCACCAGAAAACAGCGGGACAUUUGGCUCUUAAUGCUCACCGCUUAACCGAUGACUGUUUCAUGAAGAAGGGCCAGAGGAAUCUGGAUUAGCAUCUCAAUUGUUAUCAAAAGCUGGGGCUUGUGCCACCUAAAGAGACCUUCCAUGCAGACUCAGAACCACAAGCUUUAAUGCCCGGUUUCUUCUUCUAUUUCUGCCUCUGUGUAGGGUGAGAACUACAUACUUCCAAGUUGCUCUGCAAUACUCCACCAACCACUAGUUGGCAGUUGGACAUGUCAUAUCACUGGUUUCUGGUCUUGCUGUAUUCCAUCCUUGUGUGUGUAUUGGUAACCAUCCGAUUUUAAGGUCACGAUUCAAUUAGAUUCUCUUUUUCUUUUUCUUACAGCACAGAGGCCUACACCAUUUUUAGACUGGUCUAGUCUACAGUCAUUGGUUUUAUUCAUUUAUGUUUGUACUGUAAUUGUAAUGGUAGGCUGGACCAGUGAUGGUGUUUUCCCAGUUGUUAAAUCAACAUCUUUGUGAUGCCGGCAAAUGUGUGCGGCCAUGUUCAUCGUGUUACCUAUUGUCGGGUAUGCAACAGGCACGUAGCAUAGUUUACACACUGUCAUCUUCUUGUUGACAACGCAAACGUUGUCGACGUAACUCACCGGAAACGCAAAGUAUUUCCAUACUUGAGAUUUGUGAGAGGCAGGAGCGGCUUCAAUGUGACUACAAUGUCAUUUGCUUCCGCUUCGCACAUCUCCGAGACGUGGAGGGAGGGGAUCGUCAAUCCUCUCUUUGAUUUUGAUUCUUGAGAUCAUGACGUACUUUCGAUCGAUUUCGAGACACCCCUAGUAACCAUGGUAACUGAAUAUGGGUGUAACAUAUUUGAGUUAAGGCUGAUAAAUGUUAUGCAGCCGUUGAUUAUGCUUCAGACCGAAAGAGAGGAGGAGACAGACUAAACGGCCACCGAGGAAGAGGACAGGGCGAACCGACCAACCACAAAGCUCGCAGCCUGUGUCAUUUUAACGCACAUUUACAUUUUUUAGGAAGUGUUGAUUUGCCAGAAGACCUUUAAGCGAUCUGGUGCAACACACUUUACCUGCUUGUAUAAAGAGAGCAUGGCUCCACCACUAACCUCAUGUUACAGGCCAAACACACAGAAGGAAAUGAAAAGUCAAAUAUUCACAAGUUGUGGUGAGGUUCACGGAAAUCUGGAAAAUUGCAAAUCUUGCCCGGUAGUCAAACCUUGGUCCUCUCUCACAUUCUCUGCACCUCUACAACUCCACAUUAUUCAUGUUGCAUUUUCCAGCACCAGCCUUUUGACUUCCUUGUAAGUGCAUUCAAGGUCUAUUUCAUCAUGUUUUAGCCAGAAGUCAUAAAAAAAGCGCAGGAAUGAAGGCACCCUGAGCAAUUAGAAUGCCUUGGGGUGCUGCGCGGUGUGGAAGUGUAAUUUUAACGGGGAGGUCUGCUUGGCUGUGCAGACAGAGACCAUCACCAGUCGAUACAUGCACCAGAGUUUAGAGUAAAUGGGGAUGUGCCAGACACUGUUUUGAGACAUCAAUAUUCUUGUUAAUGUCUGCUUGCUCCAAAACAGCACGGCAAAGACUCUCCAGCAUAUCACAGAGAGGAAAUAACGGUGUUUGAGUCCUCCUAUAAAAGCUGAUGUUGAAUUCAUAAGCCAUUGCUGUGAAAACUUUGCUAACUCAAACGUUUCCAAUGAAUGUCAAUGAGAAAGUGUUAUGAAGUGGGGGACAAGUUCGCUCAAGGCUGCAGAGGAUGGCGGCGCAGGAUGGUGGUCUGUGUGUGUUUAGAGUGCCAUUAAACAAAACAGAGACACUGAUACAGCAUGAAAAUCAUCUCCAGUUUCCAUAGAUCCGGCCCUUUUAGCCGCAAAUACUCUCAGAGGUCAAUACACCUAAUGCAUGUGAGCAAGACAGUAAACGCCUUGCAGCAUAAACAUGACAAAUAUAUGGAUUUGGCGUCGUAGUCCGUCAUGCUCCUUUGUGUUUGCUUUAUAUUGUUCUAACAAGGAGGGGAGAUGGGCAGCAAAUCAGAGAGGAGAGCGGACAGAUUGACAGCUCUUCAUCACUCUGUUUUGUUAUGGGGAUUUAUAAUUAAUCCUUCUGAGACCACCGCUGACUAUCCUCUUGACCAAUGGUGAAAAAAAAAAGAAGAGUACGAACUGAAUGCAGAUACAACAUACAUUAUUCUGUCAGAGAGCGGGUUCAUCCUCAGAGAGUUUCCGUGCAUAUUCAGAAAAGGAGGUUGUAUGUGGGAUUAAAUAUUUGCAGCUUUAAAAAUUGAUUUUUUGACUUCAAAGUUUCUUCAGCUUGCACGGCAUUACAAAAACAUGAGGACCAAUUUUCAAUAUUAUUUCAACAGGAAAUAUUCGAGAAGCCAAAUCUCAGCUGCAUGGUGUUUCAUAAUGUAACAGAAAAAAAUGAAAGAAACUGAAUUUGUUGUUAUUUUUAGUAUGAAGGAGGACGAUGCUUAUCGUACACAGAGGCAGAAAGUGUGGUACCCAACAACCCUUUCACUCAACUCUGAUAUAAAUCCAACAGAAGGAAAGUUAAAGGCUUGGGGAAAUUUCUAGAGUGAAGGAUAAAGUCCACAUUGGGCAGUAGCGAGUGGGGAUGGAUGUGCUCGGUCAGGCCGUGUCAGACUCAGAAUAAACAGACACAACAAUGCGCAUCCAAAUGGCACUCAACUCACACAACCUUGGGUGUCGGUAUGAUGUGUUGCAAGAGAGUGGCAAAGCAUCAGUUUCGGCCUCAAGGGAGGGAGGCCAAAACAGCAGUGAGAGAUGGUUUAAAGAUGAGGAAUCCACGCGCCUGGAUUUUCAGGUGGCUCUUUUUUGUCUUUACCUGGGGCUUUGUAACAUCCUCGCAGCAGUCGGCAGGUGUUUGAUCCCCAGAUUGGCCCUUAAAGUUGGAGUGUUCCCAUCUCCUGCUGUCAGCCUCCUCAUGCAAACUGUGCACACAGCCUUGUCAAGAUUCACCAGCUCUUCCCUGUCAUUUGGUUGAAACCAAUGUUGCCAAAUAGGGAAGUCAUUGAGACCAGCUCACUGGGAGCACGGCCCUCAACCUUCGCUCUCCUUUUUUCCCUUCUGCAUGAUCUGGUUCUCUCCAGCUUCCAUUAACAUGCUAACAAGUAACUCCAAAUUGCCCCUAUGUUUAUAAGAUUAGAUUAGAUUUUUUAUAUGUAAUUGCACAGCAGUUUUUAUCCCAAUGUUAAUGAUGUUUUAUUAGUUUUGGAUACCUUCUAACUUUGGUUAAAGAUGGGAUGGAAGUGGGUCUGAUCUUACAUGAUGGGGCUCAAUCAUUUCCCAUCUGUACGCUGGGUUUUUGUAAAAACAGUGUGAUUAAGACCUGCUUUAAUUAACUCUUGUUGUUAAUUAGCACUAUAUCAAUAAUGAUUGAUUGAUUAAUUGCCUACGGUUGUAAUAUGGUGUGCCAAAAGGGACAAAAAAAGGCAAUGAAAUCAAAACGAUACAUCACUUUGUAAUCAAUAUGUUCACACUGCCAGCCCAGCUGAAAAUAUUAAUAAAUUUGCAUGUGUAAUUAAAAAAAUGAUCGAUUUCCAGUUUCUAUUCCAAAUAAACCUGAUCACAGUUUUUUAACCAUGUCAAUGCUUUGUUUAUUUGCAGACUUAUACUAGUUUAACUAACUGAGGGUUUCAUAAUGUUAGAGUUUCAGGUCAAGAUUGGCCCAAAAAGCCAUGAAUACAGUAUCGUAGUGAUACUAUACAGAGCCCUAAUGGGGCGCUCACACCAAGCUCGAGUAAAAUCAUCUACUCGCUUAAUUCGUGCAAAUCUAGACACAUAGAUGAAUAGUAUUUACUCGCAUCAUUUGUGUUUAAAUGGUAGUUUCAACAGUAAUCCCUGCCAGUUUAACCAACAGGAUUAAGUGAUAGACAAAGGUUUUUUACAAUCUACCAGGUAAUCCGACCUCCUCACUCACUUGCCUCCAGGCGAGCUCCUAUUUAUUUAUAAAUGAGACUUUAAUGGCAACUGGAAAUUGGACCAAACUCUGUAAGUUAUGGUUUGGGUCACUCUCAUUGUGUUUCCUUGGGUGCAAAUAGAACACAUUUUGGAGUUUGUUUUCUAAUUUGGCACUUAAAUGGCAAAAGCAUAUAUACAGAGGCAAGUGAUAAGUUCAGUUGGCGAGGAGCAUCAUUAGCUGAUCAGAGUGAGAACAUUUAGUAGAAAGAUUUAGACUUUUACUGAAGAUCUCAGACUAAAAGUUUUUCCCUCCCCCAGUUUUCCAGCCUCGCUGUCAGCCAGCUUGGCUCGAAUUGGCACAAAAUAUGAAUUUUUCAAAGUUUGCUUGGAAAAAAAUGAGAGCAUCAGAAAUAUCUUCUGUGGAAACUCAUUCCUCAGAACUUCUGCAAUUGUCUUCAGAGUAUUUCAAUCUGAGUGUUAGUUUUCAAAGUCUGAAAACGCUGAAUGACAGAAGAUCUGAGGAAGAUACUGCGGCAAGCCGAAAUGAUCGACUCACUGAGGUGUGGGACGAGUAUGACAUCGUCCAUUAGUACGUGAAUGAAAUAAGACUCUCUGAUCAGACGAAUCCUUGCAGAAAAGAGGUCGCUCAGCAGGAACAUGCGAUGCUGGUGAUUCGUUGUCCUGCUGAGAAUCGGCAGACAUGCUGGUUAGUUUAGUUUGACAUUCUGAGAGGGGAGUCUCUUCUAAGACGCAGAUUAGAAGGACAAAGCACAGUCAUUACUCUGAAGCUCCCCCCUGAGGUCAACUUUAUCCCCCGUCCUUGAUUUUGAGGCUCAUCUCCCGCAGGUCUGCUACUUUUAAUCAAACAGCAGUUUGAAUAGAUCCUGUUAAAGUGCCUUUGUCUCCUGUGUCUGAGUAGCCUUUGUUUCCUUCACUCUUUGUCUCUCCUUCUUGACACGGGACCAAACAGGAUACAGGACAGAAAUGCUGCUCUCACAGAAUAAGUGCUGAUACUGUGGAUGUGAGAGGUCAGCAGUAUUGAGGAGGAGAGGAGGGUCAUUAGAAGGAUUUUCAGACCCGUCUGUCUGUCAAAGUGAUUCCUUUUGACAUGUGAUCUUAUUCUUUUGGGAAAUCACGUCAGACACAUGGGCGGACGUGAACAUGAGUGUGGGCGAGGACUGACAGUCAACCACAGAGAUAGUAAGGCAGAAAGACAACCAGAGACUUCCAGUUCAUGUGAACAUACAGACAGGGAGACAUAGAGAAAGUGCAAGCAGACCAUCAAACAGGUUCAUUUAUCAAAGAGACACAAAAACAUUCGACAGUGUUUUUGGUGACGUUGACAGUAUUUCCGUCUUUAUGUACCUCUGUGCAGAAAAGAAGAGGGUUUGAGGAAAGACGAGGUACAUGUGCUGGGAAACACAGACAUACCAGGAUUUUUUUACGAUGACUCCAACACAGAAUCUCAGGAGAGAAAGUCUGAACAGAAACAAAAACCAAAAAACACACAUGUCAUCAGUCACACAGACUUUUAAAACACUUGUAACAGCUUCAGUCUGACUGAAAUCUCUCUGAAUUAAACUUCUUACUGUCAACUCAACAAUCAUCCUUUCUUUACACCAGAAAAUUUUUAACAAAACUUAGGAGACUAAUGCUGUGUUCCACUUACCUCGGAAGUUGGAUGUCGGAGCUGGGAAUGACGCUACACCCAAGUUGACGGCGUUCCAGUAAACAAGUCGGAAAACCAAGAUGGACGCCUACUGUUAGCUGUUGUUUACAAUUGUCAGUUGUUGUUAGCCGUUGUCAGCUGUUGUUAGGUGUUGUUAGCUAUACCAUUUGUAAACAACACAACACAGUAUUUUACUCUUACAGACACCAUAGCACCGUGUUCACAGUUAGACGUUGGGCAGUACAACAUACACCACUUAUUUAAUUUCACAAAAACAAAACAGAAGUGCUAAUAAAUAAUACAUUACGAGAGCUUUCACUGUUACUCUUUACUGUUGAUGCACUGCGCUGCCAUCUUGGAUUAUGACGUUGUCGUCAAGUCGGGGUUGGUGAGGAUCGUCCAACUUUCAGAGUUGGAAAUCUAACUUCCGGGGGGUGUUCCAGGUGAAUUUCUGACUCGAAGCGUAGAAAUCCAAAUUCAGGGUAUUCAAAUCAAAUCAAAUUUUAAUUGUAUAGCGCCGAAUCCCAACAGUCGUUAUCCCAAGAUGUUUUCCAAAAAAGAGCAGGUCUAGACCACGCUCAUUGUUUGAUGAAUUACCAAGAACAAACCAUAAGAUGGGAUAGAUUUGACCCCUUAUCUAACAUAAGUGACAGUGGCAAGGAAGAACCCUUUAACAGGCAGAAACCUUGAACAGGACCAGACUCAUGUUAGACAGCCACCUGCUGCUGCUGAGUUGGGGAGAAAUACUGUUAAAACACUAAAAUGUAAAAGAGACGGGUCACAGACUAAGAUUUGAAAGGUCACUAUUAAUGAAAAUAAACAGUAUUAAAAGUAAUUGGAACAUGUUUUUAUCGCCUUUUUUCUUGACUUCUGGAUUUCAUGUCACAUUCACCCAUUCACACUACAUUCAUAGACUGAUGAGCGCAGCCACUAGGGGCAGUUUUGGGUGUAAAUGUCUUCAGCAUGUGGGCAGAGAGCCCUGAGAUUCAGAGAUGACUGGUAUCUCUCCUGAGCGACAGCCGCCCCUGUAUGAGUCAUUAUCAGCUGGUUGUCUAAUAAAGCUGACUGUAGGUACAAAAGAUGCCUGCAUGUCUGUGAGGUGUUGCCAGGAAAGUCUUCUUUGCAGAGGCCAGCUUUCACUGAUGUGAUGUGAAGGAUCAGAUUACGAGUUUUCUCUGUCUUCCAUUGAGAAGAAUAGACUACCAAACCCACUGCCUGCAUGAAAAAUAAUGAACACCCCCUAUUCUAAGCUCUACCCUGCUAGUGCAUUUGAAACUGGAAUCUCACUGUGAGUCUAUUGUUAUUCUGAAAUGAAAACCUAUUGAAGGUAAGGCUCUAAAAUAGCAAAGUAAUACUGUAGCUUUGUGAUCUAUGAGCUACCUGGUAUGGAGGAGAGGCUGGGAAAUGAAAAAGCAAAAUAAUACACAGGACCUUGGGAGGAAUUCACUUCUGUGUGAUGCAUCGCUCGGCCAUUCCUCAAACUGUAAUUACCCCGAUCUUUGGAUUCCCAGCCUAUCUGGAAUCUGACCACAGAGCACAGAAACAUGAAUAAUGGAGGUCCUAAAGGAGUCUCAAUUAGGUUUUUAUAUUGAGGGGAAAUAAAUGAUUCACAUCUUAAUAUCUUUGGUGCUAAAGAGGCUUUUGGAGAUCUCUGACAGAUAUUGUUUUAUAUUAGUAAUAAGUUAUUGCCGCCCUGCAGCAGCACGGCCCUCGAACCAUCAGGAUUCACCGUGAGAGACAGAGUCAGAGAGGCAUGUUAUUGUAAUUCCACCACAUCUGUUUAUGUGUCAUUAAACAGAUUUACAUUAUGUAUGGCAGGCCAAAGGUGGACGGAUGGAUAUGAAGAGCAUCAAUAAUAAUGAGGCAGACAUUGAUAGCAGGAAUGUGGGUUUGUGUGUGUGUGUGUGUGUGUGUGUGUGUGUGUGUGAUUCCUGUGGCGUUCACUGACACUCUGCUCUUAACCCGGAGGGAACGCCAAUAAACAGAUGGGUUCAAUGUGUUGACAUGCAGUUAAGUGCAGCAGAAGGGUUCAUUACCCCGAGGAGACGAUCGCAGAACAGACAUGGCUCUAGUUCACGUCAACCGUGAGUUACCGUCAUUCAUCACGGUGACUCUGCCUGAUGGAAACAGCCAAGCUUGUGUAAGCUUUUAUCGUUACUAAAGAAAAGGAAACGAGGCAGAAUCGAGGAAGGAAAGAAACGCUCAUAUUUUGUGGGGUAGCUAAACUAAUUUAGUCUCUGCCUCAUGAUCACCAACUUUGUUUCAUUGCAUAAAAGAACCAUAAACUAUCAGGAAAAAAAGUAGUUUAAGCCUGCAGGAUGUUAAUCUCUGGGUUUUCCAUCUACUAUUAAAUAAAGUGGAAGAGGAAGUGACUAUAUUUGGACGAGGAGAUUUAAGAGAGGUUAUUGCUGAUCUGUUUUGAUGGACUGAAGAGGAGGUGAUAGGGCUGGGCGAUAAGGCCUCAAAUCAAUAUCACGAUAUAUUCAGCAGUUCACCUCGAUAACGAUAAAUAGAUGAUAACUACUCCAAAAGCUGCUCACUCCCUCCCACAUUAACUCCGUCUACUUCAGCCGCUACAACUUUUGACCCUUUGUUACGGACUGGAUGGCGUGGAGUCAUCUCUCUGACAUAGGACAGCGUCUUAAAGGGACAUGAGGCAAAAUGACGUCAGUUAGAAUACAAUAGAAUAUUCCUUUAUUGAUUAUUAGUUAUUGUCGUUAUCUGUCAAUUUUCGGUUAAUCGCCCAGCCCUAGGGGGUGAUACCUUGUGGCAGGCUAUAAACACAUCAACUCUUCCACUUGCAUCCACAGUUUUCAGUUAUGUGCCACUGAAAGGUUAUAGUCAGUACAUUUACAUGCACAGUUUGUUAUAGCUUGAUGAGGCUAUUUAAUUAGACUACUGUCCCUAUCCCAGUUUACAACACCAGGCAAGAAUCUGUUAAUUGAUAAAGGUAUGUCCAGCCUUGCUCUAGGAGCUUUGGCUGUCUCACACUUUUAACCCCAUGUCCAGUUUGAGUGAAACUAGCUUAAUAAAUCAAAAUGUCAGACUUGUAAAUGACCCCGAAGCUGUAAAAAUGCACAAAAUAUUUUAAUAUAAGUUGUUUUGCAAUGUUAUUUCAUUGAAAUGAAGUAAACUCCUGAAUGCACACGGACAGCCAAAGCACAUUUAUAGUAAAUCUUUUUAUGACAAAUAGCAUCAGCCAACCGCUGUAGCACACCGAUUCAGGUGCAUCACCUCAACCUCCUGGUUUGGAUAUUACCCAAUAUACAAAUAUCUUUUCACUAAGUCUGACAGAGCUGAAAAAAAACAACAAUGCUUCCUUUGAACAAACAGUCUCUGAGUGCACACACACACUACACUAAGACCGUGUAAAUCUAAAUUAAUUUGAAGACAAACAUCUGGACAUAAAAUUUGUCAGACUCUGUAAAGUCAGGGGCAGCUCUCUGGUUCAUACAAAUUAACUUUCUUCACCACCAAAAUGUUAAAUCUUCCCCACUACCUCCAGCACAAGCAUUGAGGAGGUGUAAAAAGUUUGUGUUUAUGUGCGAGAUUUUAAUAUGUCAUGGUUGGAUGUGCAUUACGAUGAUAGUAUAUCUCCUCUCACCAGAAUAGAGCGCUACUUGACUAGUCGUAACAUUUGUUCAACAACUCACAGAAAACCAGCCGAAGUUCUGUUGAGUCCAUCUAAAUCAAUCCCUAACCCAGAACUGCCAAGUUAAGUUGAAAACCACCCAAUCUGACAGCAGUUGGCAAAGCACAUGGCAAAGAGUGAGUUUUAUCCUCUCUUUGGUCUGCUGUUUUUUUUUUUUUUGUUUGUUUGUUUUUGUUUUUCUACCUGAUGAGCCAUCAAGAAACCAACUAUUAAACUAUUAUACUCAGGAAGGGUCAAAUAAACGAGCACUGAAUAAGCCAACCCAAUCAAGUUUAAGCACAGAGAGGAAACUUCUAAGUAAAUACCAAAAUACUGUAUAAAAAUAAUACAACAAAAAAAAAAAAAAAAUGCCUCAAGUGGCCAAUCAAGGAACUGCACAUUUUACAGGGUUUCUACACAAGUACGGAAAAGUAUGGAAGCAAUUUGAUCAAUUUGCAGGUCUUAAAAAAUUAUGGUAAAAAAAAAAUAAAGUAUGGGAAAAUAUUUAUGUUGACAGACUAUAUUACCACAGUUAUAAAGUACAGUUUUCUAAAAUAGAAAAGUAGGUAUUUCCAAAAAUAAUUCCAAAAAGUAGGGUAUGGAAAAGUACGGAAAUUCCAACUGUGUAGGAACCCUGAUUUUAACCCUUUCCAGCCCUAAAGAUUACCGCUGAACUCCAAACUAAACACAUUUUGAACCUUCAUUAUGUUUUAUCACGAAUAUCAGAGAGUAAAUGUUGCACUUACAGCGAUCUGAAUUAUACAUGAACUCAGAAAUGAAAAUUCUGGGGUUUUUGACAGAGAGAGCUUCCUUUGCAUCCGUUUCUAUCAGCUUUACAGAGAUGAAUACAAUCUUUUCUCUCAUUCAUCUGCACUGUUGUCACAACACCAGCACCUGCUCUGUCUGACUCCUUUGUUGGGAAUGUGCACACAUGGAGAAAGCUGAUUAGAGACCUCGUUAUGCAGAUUUGUGUUUACAUGGCCAAGAAACUGUCUUUGGCAGGAGGAAGUGUAGCUGAGGAAACAGGGUUGUCUCAUCUCAUAACUGCUGGGUUUCUUACAGUGUUUACAUGACAUCUACUUACUCUAGCUUGACAGCGGCCUUAUUAUUGGAUGUAAACACACUGGCUGUUCAAAAUUGAGUCUUAAAACUGGAAUAAACACUUUUACUGGGGGAACUUUUUAGAGCUCAGCUAAUUAGCGAGAUAAAAUAUUGGGCUCUUCAGCACCCUCAUAAAAGUCACAAGAGUAAUAUCUCAGAUUUGAGAGCGCCAUCUAUCACUACAGGUGUGAAACAGAGGCUAUGAACCUGAUAGAAGUCUCAUUUGUUUGCAGUCAUUAUACCCAAAUAUCACUUUCAAUUUAACAAGAACCUUUUAGUUUCUCUAUUUAAAGAACAUGGUUUUGAUUCAGAUGUGUUUGUAUGCUGUUUAAGGUGGGAAAAGUGACUCACAGCUGUGGGAUUUGAGCCAAGUAGAAGCAGACACGAAGGGAAUAGUAAUCUCCUGCAGCAAAUCUCCAUAAGCAUAAAGUGUCUGCUUUUAAAUGUUUGAUCACCUCAUUUUAAUUCUCUAUGCAUCGGGGGCAAAGGUGUGAAUUAUUUCCUCUGAUACUCUGGCUCGGUGAGUGACAGCAGACAGGAGCGUGUUGCUGAGUUAAUGUGAUUUAUCCGGAGAAGCCAAUCUGCUUGUUGACAAUAAAACUGCUGGCAAUUUUUAGCAUUUACCGCAUGAUCGAUAAAGGCCAAACACUAAAACUACACAAGAAGUAUUAAAAACUUUUUUCAUUGGGAUGGUUUGUCGGUGUCAUAAUUCUGUUCUUGUUGUUCAGAGGAUUGAUGGGUUUGUCCACUAGGGGGCAGAAGAAACAAGUUUUAGACACGUUACUAUUUUAGUGAUAUUGCAAAAACAUGUUAGCUCUUCAGCAUUUGUCAUGUUGAUUACAAAUUUCAUAUGCUUUUCUUGUCCACAGUUAGUUUGGCAGCAUGUAGGUAAAGUGAUUACAAGCUCUUCAGCUGUUUCACAGUAAAUUACCAUGAGGGCUGUCCAAUAUCACAUUUUAAUUUUAUGAUUACCAAAGCAAUAAAAGCCCUCUAUAACGAUAAUUAAUAAAGCUAAAAAAAUCAAAAUAUUUGGUUGAAUUGAGAGAAGGGCAGAUAUGGAUGGGACAAGACGUUAAUCUUGGCAAAUAAAUGUAACUGAUUCAUUUACAUUUUAAUGAUGUAAACAGACAUAUAUUUCAUCAGCCCAAUAGCCAAUACUCCAUUGGAGAAGACAAUGUCUAGUAACGCGGUUGUUUUUGAUGCUUUUAAUCUGACAUUCCUACUGUCUUGUGUUAAGGUUGCUUUAUUUUAGGUGUUGUAAAUCCAUGCUUUUAUUUUGAAAUCAUGUAUAUGUUAUUUUAAGUAGAUUAUAAAUGACUGAACUGAAACAAAAAGGCUAAAAGAAAGGACAGAAAGAAUAAAUGUUCAGUUUGUUAGCUCUUAUCUCAGUUAAUCCUGGAAUAUCAGUAUCAAAAGUGUCAGCUGAUUAGGGCUGGGCGAUAUGGCCUCAAAUCAGUAUCACGAUAUAUUGAUCAGUUCACCUCGAUAACGAUAAUGGACGAUAACUACUCCACAAGCUGCUCACCCUCUCCCACAUUAACUUCAUCUACUCCAGCCGCUACAACUUUUGAACCGUCCUCCAUCUCCUCACCUUUCUUUCCCUUUUUGUUACGGACUGAAUGGGGUGGAGUCCCGUCUCUGAUGUAUGACAGCGUCUUAAAGGGACAUGAGACCAUAGCCUACCUACACACAUCCCAAACCAACUUUUAUUUGUUUAUUUUUUUGACACCGAAUUCAUUUACAUGGGCAAAAUGUUGUUGGUUAUUGUUGUAAAUUUUGGUAUCAGUAAAUUUUCAGUUUAUCACCCAGCCCUACUGCUGAUAGCUCAGCAGUUUAAGCACCCUAGUCGACUUCUGGCCUCGGCCCUUAACUGCAUGUCUCUCCUCACUCUCUAUCAGUCUAUCCUCAGCUGUCCUUUCUAAUAAAACCAUAAAAAUAGCCAAAAACAUACAAUGUUGAACUGCAAAGUUUCCAACUUUAGUCAGUCAGGAAUUGUUUUUGAAUUAAAGAGUCACUUUGUCUGGUUACAUUUCAUUUACCUGCCCAGACAAAAAUAGCAAUCAAUUAAAUGUCUCUAUUAUUCCCUACAAUCCUCUACUAUAGAUUUCCUUCACUCAAGGACAGCUUUGGUAAAAAGAAAAGGAGCCUGUUAAUGAAAAAAGAGCCUUGAGGGAUGAACCAAGGACAACCGCAGAAGGCUGUAAUUUCCAGAGGAGGUGCAUUUUCUGUCAGAAAUCUCCUUAACUAGAUAUUGAUUUAGGAUAGUCGCAGUUACAGGUUUAGUUUGGGAAUAAUACUCUUCAAGCUUGAUGUCUUAACUUAAAACUUUAUUUUUCCAGUUUAAUUAAAAACUUCUGCAUCAGUUAUAGCUUGAAAAAUCUCCAUGCAAAGUGGCCAAAUUCAGAAAACAUGCAAAAGCCCAAACAAAUGCAAAAGCUUAAAAGAAAUCUGUGCUGCAAAAAGCUGACAUAACUGCAUUAACAUUAAACGUGCUGCAAACAGAGUAUGUUUUGACUCGCAACAGUGAAUACAGCAGCGAGAAAUACAGCGGGAAUUGCGCUUCCCACUCCGACUGGGACAUCAAAAUGUUGACUCAAGCAAAGGACCAGAUCUCCUGAGACUCUGCAGACUGUUGUUGUUGACGGAGGUGCAGCGCAAUUUCGAGUCUAGAGAACAAAAUGAGAACAUCAAUUACAAAAAUGUCAGUGUCCGGGGUCUAAUUGGAUUCAGUGUAACCCACAGAGGGAUUACUGGUUAGAUACAAACCGUGUGGUUAUAUGAAAAAAGAAAGAUAAAGGCCGAACAUAAUGCUACAGAGCGUUUACUAAAGCAGAGUAGAAACCUUGAGAAAUGUGAAGAAAGAGGAUCACAAGUAUGAGGAGUAAUUCAGCAGAGACUUCCUGGGUAACAUGUUUUAAAGAGCUUAUAGUGAGGUGGUUUAGGGUCCAUGUAUGAGUUAAAGACACACUGGUGUAACUGUAAUCUGUGAAUAAAACCUCUAAAACAGACCGCUCUGCCACCCACAAAGUCUGCCUUCAAAUCAUCUGUAUCAUCAUUGAUUUCUCUUUCAUCAUCCACUCCUUUUUAAUAUUGCAUCUGCUAAUCACUGAGUUCAAAGAGGAGAUUUAAACUCUCUACAUUUAAUAGUUUCUAUCCAGUCCUUUCAGAUUUACUUACAGCAGAGGGCAGAGAUGAUUCAUGACUUUGUGACUUUAAAGCUGCUCACAGCAAUGAAGUUAUAAUUACUGCAGAGGCAGAGACUGUGACCCAAAACAGAGGGACCAUUUGUAGUGAAACCUGCUGAAAAGUGAUGGGGAGAAAAGUGGAUUGGGACUGGGCAGAUGUGAUGUAACAGCUAAGAAGAGGUGGGCACAGUUAAUCCAUAAUUUAACAAGAUUAACUGUUAACCCAUGAACUUUAAGAACAGUUAUUCUUUUUAGAAGUAAAACAUUCAUGUAAAAACCUGAUGACAGUCUGACAGUCCAUCCUUUUGGCAGCGACGAGGGUCCUCAAGGUCCAGAUUCCAGGUUUAAUCUAAACACAUUAUAACUAUAAAGAUCCACAGAUUAAAAUCUGAAAAAGGCCGUAUGCUCUGUUUAAGUCAUCUGGGAUCAAUUUUACCAGGUAAGACCAGCUUUUGGAUCCUUCUUCUUUCUCAAACCUGGUGAUUUUUCCCAUCGGCAUCAAUAUAUACAUCAACAAAUGAACAUUCAAAAUACUGAACCCUCAGAUGUAUUAUUCAGUAAUGACAAGUCCAACACUCGGUAUCCUCUGGUGAUUUUUCUUUUACAAACAGUCCAAUUUGGCUUGAACAAACUGACCUAAAACAGAAGCACAGUCUCGCCUCCCAUUAGUUUGUAGUGAGGGGUUUUAAAGCAGAACAAUGGUGGUCUACUUGUUGGGAACUUUUAGAGACUGGCAAAGGGCUGGAGCUGAAGCAGGUCACCACCUUCAGCUACAUCAGGCCUGUCAAUUAAAAUCCCACUCUGAUCUUUUUUUUUUUUUUUGUACUACUUAAAAUGUUCUCAGCGCUCUUUGAAUUGUGAUUAAGUUUUCACCCAAAAUCACGUUACCUGUUUCAUUUUCAAGGGCUUUUCUUCUGCAGAGCUCCAGUAGCUGGGCGGAGACAGCGCGACUCUGCACACUUCUAGCUUGUAGCCCAACAUUGUUAGUGUAGUAGAAGUGGCAGGUAACAUAGAAGCUAUUUAGCUCUCAGACACUAAUGUCUUUAGGGACAUGAUUAAAGUUAAUAUCAUAAUUAGCUUUCUGACGAAUAUUGCAAUCUGCUAACGUACACGCUUGUUCCACAAUUGUUCUCUCUACUUUUCCAAGUCUGGCCUGCAUAACUGGGCUCGGGGGGCGGAGCUUGGAAUUGUGACAUAGGAAAUCUUACUGUGUCUGAGCCUACAUUUUGGGUCUGCCAGAGAUUCACAGCAUUUGAAUGCAGCAUUACUCAGAAAUGUAAUUUUUCACUUACUUUUCUCAUGAUAUGUCCUGUAGCAUCAGAAAAAUUCCAUAUGAACAUGUAGACAACAAGAAAAACAUGAUUUUCAUCAGAGUGAGCCUUUAACACAGCUGUACCACUGUUUAUGCAACCCAAGUCUUGGUCACUUCAUCUUGGAUAAAGAGCGAUUAAGAUCUUCACUAUUUUUUUUUUACACUGGCUAUAAAAAUGUUUGAUUUGCUUUGCCCAAGAAAUUUAGUAUUUUAGAGCCCACCUUUUUUUUUGCACUCCUGCAUUGACCGCCACUUGGUUGUAAACUCUCCACCAACUUAAGGCCCUGUGAUUGAUGUGGGUCGACGCUGAUCACAGCAUGUUUGUACUGUGAUGUUGUGACUCCCAGUCUCUCUUUCUAAUGGUUUUAUAAGAGAUUAAAACCUGGAGUAACAUAAACAGUUGUAAAAAUCCCUCUAAUUAUGUGUGGAUUAUAAUUAGCCUUGAAACAGACAUCAGCAGAGCAAAUUUGGUAUAUUCCAUUAUAUUCCACUUUCUGUCUUUUAUUUGGUGUUUCAGCACAUCUAAUCUAUUUAUUUCAAUCAAAAAAGAGCUGCUGCAAAAUGAGCUCAUGCAGUAACAACCACAGUAAAUAAAGCCAGCGAAUCCUGGAUGUUUUCUUCUAUAACACAUUGUCAGACAUAUUGUUAGUAAGAACUGGCAGCUGCAGAAACAAGUGUAUGUUUCAGAUUGGCUGGAUAACAUAAAGCUUGAACGGCCUUUAGAAGAAAACCGAGACAAACAGGACAUCUGACAGCAGUGGAUGAACAAGUCUCAGAGGAGCCUUAAUCUUCUGUUCCUGCUAAAAAACUUCAGUCUGAAGAAUCAAAGUCCCCAGAUCCACCGGCACAUUGUCUCUGAGUUUGACAGCAACAAACAAACCCAAGGUCACUCAAUCACAACGACAUACUAGAGGUGUUUUUCUCAGCUUUUUUUUUUUCUCCUUUGUCACCACGGAGAGACGACUACAGAGAAAGGAAGUGUCACAGCGCAUAGACGUCCUUGGCUGAACCCAAUUUGAACUGUCUGAUUUUGGACAACAUGACCAGCUGGCUCUAAAGGAAAAAAAAGUUUGAAAAUGCCAGCUGGACUUCUGAUUCCCCAGGCAGAAACUUUUCAGUCUCUUUGUUCUCUGUUACUUAAACUCCAAAAACAAGAAUUAAACCCAAACAUGGAGACAUGAAGCUUUCAUCAGUAUUUGUGCACAUUACAGACACAGUCUCAUAGUAAUGAUUUGGCAUUAACCACUGUGAAAAAAAAAGCCUCAUCUCUCCUCUGUAUAUGUCAAUGUUUGUUGCUACAAGUACUGCUCUUGUCUUUAUCUAAAAUUAAAUCUUUUAAUUACACUGGUUUGAGUCUGUCUGUGACAAUCUCCUUAACAGCCCUCACGUCUGGCUAACAUUUCUCCUGAAGAGAGAGACAGCGCCAAAUUAACAUUCAGCUCGCAUAUGAUCUGUAAUCAUCUUUUAAUUAUCAGAGCACGCCAUGUGAGCAAGGUGACACGCCACAGGCGCCACACUUACAGUCGCACCACAAGGCCAAAAGUUUGUGGACACCCAAAUAUUACACUCACACCCAGACUGCAGAUGUCAGGGUAGAGUCGGCUGUGGAAAUGCAAGAGAUGUUAUGGUUUGCUGUACCAAACCAAACCAAACCAACCUGCUGGGAAAUUAGUGUGAGGAAAAAGGAACAGUGUGCUUACCUGUCAGUCAAGUCAGCCGCGCCUCUGAUUCUAGUUCAGGUAGAACCCUAAUAACCUCCAAACGAACAUGUUGCAAUAAAAAAAUCACUCUCAAAACAGUGGGUGCAGUGAAAGCCCUGAACUACCAUAGUUAACCAAGGUCAACUAUGGGGUAUUUUAUCAAUAUGUCAUUCAAAAUAAUUCACUCUAAUUCCAAUUAGUAAAGUCUAAAAUAUUCAAGAGUAAGUCAAGUCCAAGGUGAACUUUGUGGUCAUGAAACUUCAGGUAUCUUUCCCAAAAACUUCCCAAAUGAUGAACUAAUUGUCUUUCUUAUCUCAAAGACUCCAAAAUCAGGCAACUGGACUGUGAUGUCAGGGUAGUUGGCUGAUUUACUCUCACUCACUCUUCUUGUAGUCAAAAUUAUUUAAACUUACAGACAUUGUGAAAUCCCAGCACAAAUUAUGCAUAAAGCUAAAAAUAACCUUCUACCACAAAAUAUACAGAAUUUGUUUGGGGAUCAAGAGGGAAGUAUAACUUCAAAAUUAAUAAAAUCCACACAAGCAGAAAACGGUUUUGCAUUUCGUUCUGUGAGGUGAGACUGUGGAUUGGUAUGUGUGAGGAGUUAAAACAAUGUCCAAACAUAAAAGAAUUUAAAAUAAAAUAUAAAGAAUAUGUUUUCACGGGAUACAGGGAUGUACAAUCAUAGUAACUUUAAUCAUUAUCAUCAUUGUUUUGUUGUUGUUUUGUUAUUUUCACUGUGGUGAUUAUUUGCUAUUAUUAUGAUGAUGAUGAUGAUUAGUGUUAUUAUAUAAUAAUAUGGUAUGUAUUUAAACCAUUAGUGUAAGAGAAGGGGUGGGAAUAGAUAAGUCUCGACUUCUUCCCACUCCUUUUUGAACAUUAAUAAAUUUUUAAUCAAUAUUAUUAUUUUAUAUGUUCAAAAUAAACUUUAAUCAAUCAAUCAAUCAGUUUUGGAGUCUUCGAGAUAACCAUGACCUGGAUGAAUGAGAAUCUCCAUGGACUAAUUGUUUUUCUUCUUUUCUUUCAGGACUCAUCACCGGCUGAUCCUGGAGUUGUGGAUCUCCUCCCCCCCUACCCUCGUUCCUCCUGCUGUGUCUCCCUCAGGUAGAAGUUCAUCUGCUUUAUGAUGUUUCGUUUUGUUCCUGUUUGAAGUGGUAGUUCACUUUAGAGUCUGAGUUUAUUAUUUCACCUUUUCACUGAGUGUUUCGAGACUUAGGUCACGAUAAAAAGUGAGGAUUUGUGACACUUCAAUUAUUUACUUCAAAGCUUUUAGGUUUCAUAAGUCAGCAGUUAACUUAAAAUAGUUUAGAUUGAACAGUUUUCUAGACUUUAAAUCUUUGCUUCUGAGUGGAAAUGUUGGUGCACUUCAGUGUUAUCUGUCAUUUCCAUUCAUAGCAAAGAUUUAAAGUCUAAAUAUAUUUUUAACAAGAAAACGGUUCAAUCUGAAAUUAGUUCAAAUUAGAAAAACUGAAGAGAAACAUGGUGAGAAAAUUUAAAGCUGAGCGUUUAAGUCCAAAUAGUUGAGUAAUUAAGAAUAAAUUUCAUAUAUUAAUAAUUUUAAUCAAUACAAGCUGUAGGCCAAAAUUGAAAUUGAAAAAAAAAAUGCAAUAUUAAUCAUUACUCAUCUAAUAUUUAAAUAGAUUAGAUGAGUAAUGAGUCAAGAAAAUAUAAAAUUUAGGCAAAAUUAUGAAAAAUUAAACUUGAAAAUGUUUGAACUGAUAGGAAAUAGUCAAGAAAAAAAGUUAAGAUUUUUUUUCAAUAAGUGGAAGAAAAUGUUGAACUUUUUCAUGAUAUUCUGAUUCAUUGAGAUGCACUUAUAUUAUAUAAUGGACAUAAAUACACAUGUCAUAUAAGUAGAAAAGUGUUGUCAUUAGUAAGUUUAGCAACAUCUACUGGCAUUAAAUAACUCAUAUCAACUCAGAGAAUAUCGACCUUAAAGCUCCUCUGAGAGCUCACUUAAGUGUCUAAAACUGACACUACGAAAACACUCAAAGCUGACAGACUUUAACUUUACCGUAAAACUUAAAACUUUACCUCAAAGCUUCAAACAAACCUGCUGAAUUACACUGAAUUACACACUAAGCACUGAGAGCUGAUCUAUCUCUGCACACCUGAGUUGGAUUUAAAAAGUCCACAAGGUCAAAAACAAAAGUUACUCCCUGAGCUGUAACUACUGCUGUAUGAAAACACAACAGCAGCUGAGUGUUACAUAAAAAACCCAACACUACAGCUGCUGAAAACAUGAACAGCACUAUCAGGGACUGAAGACCCUGAAGGUGUUGAGCACAACAACACAACUCACCCACGCUGUCCUCUGCAGGUCCCACGAAGCGCCGAGUCUCCAGUCCUCCUGCAGACACCUGAGGAUCAAACACGAGGAGGGGAAGACUUCAGGAUUUGGAGUUGAGGACCCAGUUAGAUAAAGCAAUAGACAUAAUACAGAAAAUACGCCCCCUGGUGGUCAGUUUUGACAUAACUUGUGAUUAGCUUCUGCACACAAGUUUUAUAAAGUACCAGAUCUGAUGUUUUUCUGGAUUUUCUAUGCAAAAACGUUCGUUAACAGUUACAAAUAAUUUAUUGAAGCCAAUGAAGUCAUUACUUUCUCUUUUUUUUUUUUUUUUUUUUUUAUACAGGUUUUAGCUUUAAUUUUAAAUGCUGAUGGGUUAAAUACAUUUAAAGGGUUUCAGAGCAGUAUAGACACAGGAACACAACUGAUAUGAUCGAUUAUUGGGGGAUUUUUUUAUCCAGUUACAAUUACAGACAAAUGUUAGCCUUAACCCUGGCUGAUGACAUUCAACUUAUUGUUUAAAAUAUAUAUAUAUAUUAUGAUUACUUAAAAUGUAAUAUUAUAUUGCUAUUAACAUAUAUAUGUAUAUUAGCAUUUCUAUCAUUGCCAUUAUUGUUUAUUUUUCAUGUGUAGACUUUUGUUUGUUAAUUUAAAUAUACAUUUUGACCUUUACAAAUAAAGAUUACUAAAUUUGUUGUAUUUUAUUCUUGUUUUUAUUUUU